rnacentral:lncRNA from 1 species
UUGCCAUUGGAGGUAGGCUGCAGAUGGCAGGUACAUUGCCACGUCGUAGUACGGUGGAGCCACUGCCCUGAAAGCGAUUCUACACCUAAGAUCGUGUGCUCCGACUAUAUACGCCAUUCAAUCCUUCCACAGGGUUAUGUCAAAAGAUAUUGGCUGCAUGAGUUCGGAGACGGGGAAGACGAUUGCAAGAGUGAAACUGUAAGCACAGCGGAAUGUGGGAACAAUGUGUGCUUACAAUCCUAGGACUGUAAAAUCCAGUUUUGGCAUUAAAGAAUUUUUGGAAGAAAUUUCGGAGUUCUUAAUACAGUGUUGCUAAAGCACAUCUAGAUGUGCCAUAAGUAUUGCACUUAUGUCCUUGAUCUUGCACGGAAGUUUGUGUGGGUAAUAUCUUUUUUCUUUUUCUUUUUCUUUUCUUAAUAAGGCUGUUGGAAGCCAAUUGGGCCUCUGGGGUUUCCUCUCUACAGCCCUCUGCUUUGGGUUUUUCUCCUUCACGCUCCCUUGUCUUAGAAAUAAUGCUCCCUUGUCUUGGAAAUAAUCUAAAGUGAAUCGAUAUUUUUCUUUUCUUAUCCUACUGGAAACCACAUGUCCUGCAUUAACUUAAUUAAAGCUUACCAAUAUUGUUAAACUUAAUUAAAUAUUGCCGAUAUUAUGUCCUGCAUUGAAAUCAAAUCAAAUUUUACCAAAACCUCAAUUAAAUUAAAAUGUUUCUUGCCUUCUUCUACCUAUACUCCAAUAUGAUGGGUGUAAGGUAAUAUGCUUGACUCGAUUGGUGUUUAACACUGAAAUAUAUAUGCCUCAUUCCAACACACGGACAAUUUUUUUUAACACAAUAGACGCAAACGCUAAUACAUACACAUAUACCCAUCCCUAUGAACGCAAUGCCCUAUCUCUAUAAACACCCUUGAAAGACUGAGCUGGCAUAUAAUUUUGAAAUUGACGAAGUUGCCAAAAACAUCUUCGCAGGCGACGGAACAUAUCCCACUGAACGCACAUCGUUCAAAGGCUAAAAUAAAUCAAGGAACAUGCGACCAUCAAUGCCAAGUCACAAGCAAUGUUUAAUGUUGAAGCAAUGAGGCGCCUCUUCCUUUCUGAAUAGUUACUCCCUCGGUUCCAAAAUAUAAAAAUGGUAUUACAUUUUAGGACGUUGGGAGUACAUCUCAAUUACUCGGACAAUAAUUUCAUAACUGAACCUGCACGAUUGAUGCUCUUGUGUUGCCAUGAUACAUGUUCUAUAGUGGGAAGUAACAUACAUGUGGUCUCAUGCAACACUUCAUUUAUUAAGUCAUAAACUCAUCUUGUUUUAAUAUGUGUGAUGCUACUCAUAUGGUGAAUAACUAGCUAUAUUACUCAAUUUGUCUCUCUCAUUAAUUAGCUGCCACAUCAUCUUUUUUCUUAGGUGUCAACUAUGUUACUCCCACUGUACUACAGGUAGUCUCAUGUGUGCUAGUCGUGAUGCAUGUUAACAUCGUUGAUUUGUGUUAAUUCAUGAUAUAUGUGCCAUCAGCCCAUCAUUUGGUAUUACCGCCACCUAGGGGUGUGCUUUUUUAGGCAAAUGUUACACAAGACAAGACCUUGAAAAGCGACUUCAAACACCAAAAACAAGCAGCAGCCAACAAAUCAGUAACAGCAUGUCCGUUACGACAGGCACGUUAGCAAAAGAAAAUAAACACGAAGCCAGGCACAUGGUUUACAACUGAUAACAAUUAGCAUUAGAAAGUCUUUCAGUCACCACUUAACAUCAUGACUUCUUAAACAUCAAAUGGGCUGUGCCUAUGGCAGGGCACACUGGAAACAGUGAAUGGCCGAAUUACAUGUAAACUCUGAAUAUUUUUGAAUUUUGAUGCCCUACAUGAUCAUCAAUUUCAGUUAUGGUAGGCAAUCAUGCAUGUUGGAUUGCCCAACCUACUUCUGAGUAUCUAUACACUACACUGGCAUUCCAUCUAAAACAAUGUGAGAAUGAAUCGUUAGCAUUCCUAGAAUCAUAAAGCCGGUCAAUUUGAGAAUAUCACAGCAAGCACUGGCAGCACCACAGUUCUCAGGCAGCACCGCAGUUCCUCAAUUCGGUAAAUCCAAGCCUUGGGCAUUUCCAGAUACUCACUCUGCGAAAAUUGAAGUGUCAGAAUGGCUGCAAUCACGUAAUCACAAUAACAAUUUUGUUAAAAUAUAUUUGCUAGACGCCUCGAUUGGUAGGGCUACACAUAGCAUUGACUCCAGUGGAAUACCAAUACUUCAGAUAAUAUCCGGCUGAGCAUCUCCAAGGGCAAGUAGCAAAUUUUAGCCCCAUAUGUCUGCGGACAGCAGGGAUCGGGCUCCUCCAUUUUCCGCCCCUACAACAGCGGGGUCCAUUUCACCCCUCCCCAUUUGUUGGCCCCAUUUUCUUGCCCUUCUCAUUUUUUUUCAAACAAACUUGUUGAAUACUAGAAAGGUUUAGAUUGAACAUAGAAAUAAACAGUUCAAAUUUAAAAAUACAUAAUUCAAACAUAAAUAUUAUCCAGAGUACAUAGUUCAAAUUUAAAGAUAAUGAUUUGGUCUGUUUGGGGUGGGGCCGGCUUGUCGGGUCUGACAUGGCGGACAUGUCCAGACAGCCCAUAUCUGACCAACAUUUGAGCUGGGUUUAGGACGGUCCGAACUGUACGGACAAUGGGGCCGGUUUGGGGAGGACCGUAGGACCGGUAUUUUUUGUUUGGACUGCCCGGGUGUGGUGUUUAAAUGGGCAAGGGUCAGGCUCACCCCUUGGUGAGUCGUAUGUUGAUAUGGAUACAGUGAUAAGUGGGCAAGGAUAAGGUCAUCGCAUCCUUAGUGGCACGCUACAUCGAUGCCCAGGUGUAAUGAAAUAUGAGCAAGGGUCUUCGCAUUUGACUUGACAAAUGCGAAGGGUAAGGAAGCUAGCCAAGCCAAGUAGGAUCCGCUUAGGUAGCUCGAACGGAGGGUCCCUGGCGGGUAAGUUACGGGAGUUAGUUGAUACAACGGUGAGGAAGGUGCUGAUAUCCUAUGCAUCCAAGAAACCAAAUGGAAGGGAUGGAAGGCGAAGGAAGUGGAGUGUGCCACCGUCAAGCUGGUUGUUAAGCUGCAAGAGGACCAAAUUAUCCUGGUCAAGCUGGUCGUUGGGGACUUGAUUCUCGAUGUCAUCAGCGUGUAUGCCCCUCAAGUAGGCCAUGAUGUGAGCACCAAGAGGGAGUUCUAGGUAGGCUUGGAAGACAUGGUUAGGAGUGUACCUAUUGGCCAGAAGCCCUUCAUAGGAGGAGACCUCAAUGGCCACGUGGGUACAUCAAACACAGGUUCAUAGGAGGAGACCUCAAUGGCCACGUGGGUACACCAAACGCAGGUUUCAAAGGGGUGCAUGGGGCUUUGGUUAUGGCAGCAGGAAUCAAGAAGGAUAGGAUGUCUUAAGCUUCACUUUAGCCUAUGACAUGAUCAUAGCUAACACCCUCUUUAGAAAGAGAGAAUCCCAUCUAGUGACUUGUAGUGGUGGUCAACGCUCUAGCCAGAUUGAUUUCACUCCUCUCGAGAAGAGAAGACAGACGUGUUUUUGCCUAGAUUGUAAGGUGAUACCUAAAGAGAGUGUUGUCCCACGACAUAAGCUUGUGCUGGCUGACUUCCGCUUUCGGAUAUCUGUCUGGCGGAAUAAGUGCACCAAAGUCGCUAGAACGAAGUGGUGGAAGCUCAAGGGUUCAAGGAGGGGGUUAUUAAGGAGGGCUCUUGGGAGGAAGGAGGUCAUGCAAACAAUAGGUGGAUGAAGAUGGCAACUUGAGUUGGAAAGGUGGCUUCAGAGGAGUUUGAGGUGAAGAGGGGGAGUAGAAGCAAAACAAAGGUUACCUAGUGGUGGAACAAUGAUGUCCAGAAGGCUAUUAAGGAGAAGAAAGAAUGUUCGCCUACACCUGGAUAGGAGUGCAGACAACAUAUAGAAGUACAAGGUGACAAAGAGACCACAAAGCGAGCCGUGAGUGAAGCAAUGGGUCGGGCCUCUUUCAGCGUUUAAACAUGAGGGAAGCGAAAGGGACAACUACAAGGAAGAUGGGGAAUGUCAACCUAGUCAAAUGCAUCAAGGAUGGAAAAAUCAACUUCUGGUUAAGGACAAGGAGAUCAAGAACAGAUGGCAAGAGUACUUCAACAAACUGUUCAAAGGAGAGAAUGAGAGCUCAGCCAUUGAGCUGGACGACUCCUUUGAUGAUACCAACAACAUUUUGUGCAACCAAUCCGUCUGAGAUCAAGGAGACUUUAAAAAGGAAGAAAGCAAGCAAGGUGAUGAGCCCUGAUUGUAUCCCAAUUGAAGUGUGGAGAUGCCUUGGAGUGUGGCUAACUAAGUUGUUCAAUCUCAUUUUUAGGAACAAGAUGCCCAAAGAAUGUACCAACUUCAAGAAUAAGGGGGAUAUUCAAAGUUGUACUAAUUACCGUGGAUUAAGUUGAUCAGCCAUAAAAUGAAGUAUGGGAGAGUCACUGAGCACCGCGUACGAAGAAUGACAAGCGUGAUCAAAAAUCAGUUUGGUUUCAUGCUUGGGAGGUCGACCAUGAAAGUUAUUUUCUUGGUACGACAACUUAUGGAAAGAUAAGGGGCACAAAAAAAGACCUGCAUAUGGUGUUCAUUGACUUGGAGAAGGCCUACAAUAAGAGACCACAGAAUGUCAUAUGGUGGGCCUUGGACAAACACAAAGUCCCAACAAAGUACAUUACCCUCAUCAAGACAUGUGCGAUAAUGUUGUGACAAGUGUUCAAACAAGUGAUGAUGACACCAAUGACUUUUCAAUUUUAAAAUAGGACUGCACCAAGGGUCAGCUUUGAGCUCUUAGGGCAACUCCAACGCGGAUCAGCAAAACGGACAUCAUCAAAUGUCCGUAGGCACAUCCGGACGUGUCCACGAACAGCGAUGGGGGCGGAGGCCAUCCAAUCGUAGUCACCAAAUGUCCGCCCCAUUUCAAACGGAUUUUUCAAAAAAGGUUGAUAUUUGUUAAAUUUUGAUAUACUACAACCAAAAAGGACAAAAUUUAACAAAGUUCCAACUAAAUUGAACAAAAUUUUAACUAAGCCUAAACUAAACUAAGUGAGGUGCCGGACGAUGACCUGGUAGGCAUGGCCUCCAAGGCCGUCGACAACUUGUCGUCGUCACCAUCGCCGUCCUUCCAGUGACGGAAGGCCCGCCAAUGGUCGCGGCAGCCCUCAUCGGCCGCCGUAGCACGCUCGUGAUGCAGCUGCUCCACUGCCUCCAUCUAGCACCGCCUGCCAUUGCCUUUGAACCGGGCCAAGCGCUCGGACUCCUCCAGCCCCUCUUUGUGGAGCUGGUCGUUGAUCCGGCAGUGACGAGUGGAGGUCUCCAUGGUGGUCCUGGACCGAUCAAUGGCCCAAGCCUCCGGAGGCACUUGUCCGCUGGGACCCAAGGCGCCGUGACCUCCGACAGCAGAACGACGCUCCCGGCACCCCGCCUCGGAAGCCACCCGGGAAGCCGACAUUACUGUGCAGGACAAGUCGUCGUCACCACCACAGAGGUAUUAGGCAAGGCGGUCGCACGCUUUGGAGAUCGCCGGAUAGGGAGGCUCCUCCUUCACGGCGACCGGGUGCCAGACUGUCGCCAAGGCGGGGAAGAUAGCUCCUUCACGGCGACAACCAGGCGCCACUGGCUCUCGGACUGCCAACAGCCAGGGACGGCGGCACCACCUCCUUGCUGCGCAGGGGACUACGGCCCCUUCAUGCGGCGUUUGAUUUGGAUACCGUUGUUGAGCGAGAGCGGCAAGGAAGACGGCACCGGACCACAGUCGUACCGCAACUCCUCGUCCGUCGCGGCAGCCUCAGCAAAGAGGGGCGGUUGUUGCUACUCCACGACGUUCGAGGAGAUGGGCUCCGGCUUCACCUACAACGAAGCGGUUGAUGCUGACGGGCCCAGAGAACGUGAUCGUCGACACCAGGAGCUCCCGCCAGGGCCGGGGAGGGGGGGGUCGCGGAGAACCACUUCGAGCCGUCCGACUUGCCCAUCACGGUGGCCGGAGCUGGAGUUCCACGGAUUUGGGGGAGGAGAGGCAGGGGUGUAAGGUUUGCGUUUGCGGUCAGCCAGCUUAAAUACCGGGGCAAACGAACCGGCUAUGCUUCAACACGGGCAGCAAACCAAGUAGGCUUCUCGGACAACGUGCUGAUGUGAAUGCCAGACGGCUGGCAGGUCAACACACAUAAAUGCAUGUAGCGAAAUGUCUCGUCAUCUCAUCCGAUUACGUCCUCUUUGACUGGUAUGAAUGCGGCGCGAAAAACAGAGUGAGAAUUCUAGGCGGAGCGGAACGAGGGUUGUUGACAUGGGCUCGCGUUGUCGGAGGCCUACAUGGCAGAUCUCCGGAUGCCUCCCCUACGUCUGGUUCCGAUUUGUGAGAUUUCGAAUGCCCAGACAAAUUUGGUGAUCAAUGUUAGAUGGCAAAAAAUGUAUGGGAUGUCUGGUCCAGACAUUUAGGGGUUAUUUGGUGAUCCGCGUUGGAAUUGCCCUUAUCUUUUUGCUUUGGUGAUGGAUGAGGUCGCAAGGGAUAUACAUAUUCCAUGGCAUAUGCUCUUUGCAGAUGAUGUGGUGCUAGUCGGACAGGGGUUAAUAGAAAGUUAGUUGUGGAGACAGACUUCGGAAUCGAAAGGUUUUAGGCUUAGUAGGAUUAAAACCAAGUACAAGAGGUGUGGUUUCAUCAUUACUAUUAGGCAUGAGGAGGUUAGCCUCGAUGAGCAGGCGGUACCUUAGAAGGACACCUUUUGAUGUUUGGGGUACAUGUUGCAGAAAGAUGUUGAUAUUGAUGCAGAUGUGAUCCAUCGAACCAAAGCAAAUGGAUGGCGUGGCACCAAGCUUUUGGGGUCCUCUGUGACAAGAGUGCCACAAAACCUAAGAGUCAGGUUCUAUAGGACGGCGAUUCGACAUACAGAGACCUAAAGGAUUGGAAUAUCAUCAAAGAACUAGCCAUGGAUAGGGGGAUGUGGAAGUUAGCUAUCCACGACAGAACCAUGACUAGGUUACAAGAUCUUAUGGGUUUCAACUCUAGCCUGCCCUAAUUUGUUUGAGACUAAAAGCUUUGUUGUUGUUGUGUCCGGACUGUCUGUCCGAACAAUUGGGGCCGCUAUGGGGAGUCCCCUUGGAUAUGCGCUGAAGCUGAUCAAAUUUUCCAUGACCAGUAUAGCCGGCUCCUAACAGCAAGCUGAUAACCACCUCAUUCCUGAUAACGAUUCACUAUUCUAUAGGUCUAACCCAUGCUAAGUCAAAGCGACCGACUCAUGCUUACAUAAUGAUAUACCAAUCCAGAUGUCAAGCAGCAAACUGCUCGAUUUUGCACCAGUCUUCACAAUUAUUGAGACAUGGUACAUGUCCAGGGACAUCCAUUAUUUUCUGCCCGAUCAAGUCUUUGCAGCAGUAACCAGAGGGGAUAGUAUUAGCGCUGAGAUGCACUAACUUUAUGGAUGCUUUUAGCCAAUCCUAACUGAUUCAAUCUAGAGAACCAACACAAGCCAAGAGUGUGUUAUGAAAAUUUUAACCAACUCACUAAUAAAAACCAUUCAACAUUAUAUAUUCAUACGCUAAACUAAACCAUGUUCAGAAAUAAUUAACAUCAAUCCUUGUUCAUACAACCCUGGUGGUGGGGGACGCAACUCCUGUGCAUCGAUCAUGAGACCUAUGACAAAUACGGAGUAAUUGCUAACCCCCUUUAACAUUGCAAUACAGGCCUUAAUUAGUGUUGAAGAGUUGUAAUUGUCAUACACAUAACAUGUAAAUUCCAUAAUUUUUGGAGGACUUCCUCCACAUCAUGUGUAUCUAUUAGAGCUUGCACCCAAAGAAACGUCGAUAGGGCAUCAGACACCAUAAGCAAUGUGCCGCCAUUUAUUAUUGAAUUGGAGAAAUAGAUAAAAUGAUAAAUAUUGUCGGUAGUUCGACUUCCCACUAACACUUGCAUAGGAAGGACUGACCAUUAGUCUUUCUGCUGAAAUAAUUCACUCCUGGUGACUCUUAUUUUGGUUGAUUGGACCUCUGCUUCAACAUCAUUAACAACUCCCCGGCAUUUUGGAAAUCCACAAUAACAAGGAAGCCGUUGUUCAUUCGAAACAAACCUGAAUAAAGCAUAUAAAUUAUUGGUAAAACUACAACGUGAGACCAAAAGCAAUAUGAUAUUCAGAUCUGACCUAUAAUCAUAGGUCAACUCUUCCCAUGGGUCUAUGUCCCGCUUUGCAAAAAUGAUGAUAUGCUCAUCCCCAAGAACACUUAUCACACGCGAAUAACAAUUAGGCUGCAAUGAUGAAGAGAUGUCAUGAAAAUUGCCUACCAAAAUACCAUAAAAGCAAAUAUAAGAUCAAAAACUAAAAAUGGUAAAGAUUAGACUAUAGAGUAUGCCGGCAGCAGCUAUAUGACGAAACCAUUCCCAUCAACCGGAUCACUCAUGUAUGCACUAUGCAGUAACACAAUACAUCAGUAUGUCAUCAUUAAUAGUAGUGCCUCUGAAUUGUUAGAACAAAUAAUUUGAUCUUUAAUAAGCUGACACAACAUAAGGCCAACAUACAAAGUAUAUUGGUAAAGCUGAUUAUUCCCUUAUCUUCAAACAAGUAUAAAUUUUUCAUAACUCGUUGUGAAAAAUUAUUUGCUUCAAAAGAGACAUCCUCAUGCCAAUUGUACUAUAUUCCUUUUUCAUGCUGAUUUCUUAUUUUGGUAAAAAAAAAUAUGGCCAGAAUAGGCACAGGUAAUGUUCAACAUGAAUUUCCUCAAAAUAUACCCCGUUGUCCAACUACCCAUAUGUACAGUAGGUAGUGGCCCAGAAUUCGAAGAAAUACCAUGCCAAGGUUAUACAACAAUUAAUGAGGAUAUAAUCCAUACUCCUCGGCACAUAAAAGAUAUGAAGGGAUCUGAGCUGCUAACAAAGUGGAAAGCACAUGCAUAGUAGACCAAGAUUUUUCUUACCUCGCAUGAGUGAUUGAUCAAAUGGGCUAUGCUUCCUGCUCGUGUAGCGUCAAUAACACGCUCAUCAUCUAUCCUGAACAUGUAUGUCCCAGCACCCUGCAUAGAGUUACUUUGAGUAGUUAACAGAUUGUAAUUAAUAUCCAGGUAGAGCAUAGUUAGAUAACAGGUGUUUUCUACCAGUAUCAUGGAGGCAUGUAUACUGAGCUAACGUUUUGAGACAGUGGGUACCAAGCUGGACCAUGUGUACCAAAUAUAAAGUUAAUUCUAACAUACAUUGAUUAGUGUAAUAGUGACAAGCAUGCGAGCAGAAGCUAUUAGAUACAAGAGAUGUCCAUUUAUGACUGGCAGUGAGAAAAUAUAUGUAUGGUCUAUAAUCUUCUAAUUUAUGUACAGUACUGUCGGAAUUUUUAGUCCUCUAAUGGCCCUUCAUUCAAUCCCUUUCAUUUUCUUUGUUUAACAAAAUCAGGUACAUGGUUCUCUCCUGACAUUUGCGUCCCUCAAAUUCUUUUCACAAUACUUCGAUUUAAAAGCUACUCCAUCUGUCGCUAUUUACAUGGCGCACACGUUAUUCGAGGUUCAACUUUGACCAAAAAAUGUGGGUUGUGUCACAACACGUGCACCAUUUAAUUUGUACGUAUUAAAAUGCAGUUUGUACAUUUUGAUUACAUAUAAUUAAUAUAUUGUCGGUGAAAUUAAUGGUUGGAAUUUUAUCACAAACAACGAGGGCGACAUGUAAAUAGGGACGGAGGGAGUGUCAAUUGUGAGUUUGGAGGGGGUUGAAUUUCAUAUAUUUGUUAAAAUCGACAGUUGGUUUUAUCAGUUGAAGGUCUGUUAAUUCCAGAUGUCAUGAAUAUAUGAGAAUGGACAGUUGGUACCAGUUGAAAACUGGAAGUGCUCCACUUAAAUGCUUACUUUUGUGGGGUUGAAAGUUACUAUUCAACAACCUAAAGGUAGGAAUGGGUUCUGUGUUCAUUCUUGUCUCCACUGCCGCUGGCCAGCAACAAAACCAUCGCUAGACGAAGGAGAGGCAGAGCGGGAAGCAGCAAGAGGGAAAGGGGCAUGACAUGGAUGCUAGUGGCGUCAUGGAUAAUGGUCAGAGCACACAGGGUCAGAGGACGUGUGGGAAGGUCUCCACACCCAUGCUCAUGUAAUAAUAGCUGACACCCAUUCAAUAUAAGAUCAUUGUACAAGCUACCAUAUUAAAAGCUGCAAAAUUUUGUUGUGCAUAUUGACGUAUCAACAAUUCUGAACACCCAAAAGAUGUAAAUUCCAAACAGAACUUACCACCAAAGAAUUGUAUAUACGCCGCUCUCUAAGGUCUGAUAUCGGUGGCCUAACAAGCUCCCCUAUGUAUUCGAUCAUCUGAACAAGUAGAUACAAAAUAGAGAAUUUCAGAACAUUAGCACAAAUAGCAUCACAGUCAUCUUCAAAUAACCGACAUAUUUUACUGUUUGCAGUGCUAUCAGGCAGUUACAAAAUCUUCCCUAAAAGAAACCCAUCUCCUUUCCAGAAGCGACCACAAUCUAUAAGGGGAAGUUACAGAAACAUACCAUGUCUCCUGCCUUGUGUGCAACCUUUGCAAAAACACCAAACCCAUGAAUUCUUGAUUUUCCUGCCAAGAAAAAUCAUAACAUAAAACACAAUUCAUAGAAAGCAUAAAUCAGAAUACCAAACUAAUACUAAGCUUCAGUUAUAAUCCACCCACUGGCAUGUCUCUUUAUAGAGCUCAUGCUAAUAUAUGCACAUGUUUUCACUGGACAGAUUUAUACCAAGAUCGUAUACACUUCCUAUAGAUUUGACUAUUAUUGCAGAAAAUGAUUCAUCUAGCAUCCACAAAAGAGUUAACAGAACAGCAUAAAUGAUGAAGCAUCAGUUGAUAAAUACUUAUAUGAUACAGUAUGUGUAUUCAAGUUAAAGCAAAAAAAAUGCUUUGCAAAUAAAUAAGACCACAAAACAAUACUGUCUUAAAUUUUCAAAACACACUUUUUUUCUUCAACAAGAUAAUAAAAAAGAAACUAAUCAUCUUCAGAAAUCAUGCUAUGGAGAUGCCAUUGGUUCGAAGAUUAGUAAAACUCACCAAAAGCUAGUCUCUUCCUGAAUGUGGCCUUCAUGCUUUUAUAUUUUUCAGCCAUAGAAGACACAUUGACAGAAGCUUCUUGUGAUGCAGCAUCCAACAAGGCGACUGAUUGAAUUGGUUCACAGCUAGUAUCACAGCCUACUUUAUUUUGGCAGUAGCCACUAACAAUAUAAGGCAUGUUCUCCACAUACAAACGCUUUACAGAAGCAGUAGCUGUAACUUGAGGUUGUUGUUGGCCUCUUCUCCGGUGAAAAUUAUAGGGCUCUGAACAAAGGAAUGAGUAAACAGAGAUGUCACCAAGGAGCGAGAACAGAAUAGAUAGGUAAUCAUAAGGAUAGGAGAUCGUCUACUAAUAAACAAAUAUAGCCUUUUCAAGAACUAGGCAGCCCCCAUAAGACUUCAAGAUUCACUUUCAAACCAAAACAAUAAUAAUAAUAUCUGAGCGACAAGCCGACAAAUCUAUAUAAAAAAAGCUGAACAGGAGAGCAAAAUUCAACAGGGCAUAUUGUUUAAGGUGUUUCUUUUGUGAGGAUGGUUAAAAGUGACUAUCUUAAUACACAACCAAAAUGAAUAUGUGCAGAACUUUUGGAAAGAUGCUAGUCAAAUAAACAUUGCUAUUACCAGUCCUUGCACAACCAGAUGAUGAAGCCGCGUCUGUCUGAACUAACUGAGCAGGGUUACCAAGAUUACUUUCAAGAGAUGGACGUUCAGUAGAUGGUUGUCUGUGCUUCUUGCAAUACGAGAGUAGACGAAUACAUGGGCCCUCAUCCUCCUCAAGUAACAUGAGAUGGAUUUUAUCAUCAUCUUCAAGCUAAAAUUAACAUAAUACUAAUUAAGGUAUAAAAUUAGUCCCCAAGAAAGUAGGGUCACUUACAUAGAAGUAAUUUACCUCAACACAUAGAUCAGCAGCACGUGCACAGAGCGGGUGAUAUGCAACUCGACAAGUAGGAUGUGAGCACUACAUUGAUGCAUGGAGAAGGGUCAUAAUAUAUUAUAGGUGUCACAACAUAAGCUUAAACAGUUCCUGAAGUACCUGUAUGCAAGCUCCAUAAGCAACUGUACAGAUGCUGCAUAGAAGUUUCCAGCGGUCCUGGAGAUAACUUAAAACUGAAAAUGUUUCUACAAAAAUGCUCCAAAAACAGUCACCGAAAUCAAGAGAGAAAGGGGUGAAAACCUUGUUGAUUUUGCUCAAUCCAUCAAUGGGUUCCAUUCUCUUUACAUCUUUUAAGCAAGUUUCUGCAACCAAUUUAAGAUUAAGAAAACUAAAGUAUGUCAUGAUAUGAUACCACUAAGAAAAAAUAUAGUGGUUAAGUUAUUAUACCAGGAAUCCAUAUUGCACAUGCUAGAUGAGCCCAACGGCCAUCUGUUGUAGGUUUCAUUGCACCCCCUACAAACAGAGAUUGCAUCUUAUAAGUACAUAGCCUCGCUUUGCAAUAAGUACAACACAAUUGUAUACCUGUGACAGGACAUAGGCAGCAUCGUGGGGACACGCGAGGUGCCCCAGGUCGGCACAGGUUGCACAACCAAAGUACUCCAUUCAAUGGUUCUAGUUCGCCAUAGCACCGAGCAUGAACCUGAAUCACGUUAAGGCUGUCAGGAUUUGUUAAUACUUAUAUUUGACAAUAUUCAUGGAGUUGAAUGAUCCUGUAAGUGCAUACCAUCAUACGGCACUUGUCACAUUGCAAGAACAAAUUGUCUUCAUACUCCUGGAAGGCAAAAGAGAAUUUAAGUAACUUUUCAGUUUGAUUACUUGCAUUUUGAAUAAGCAUGAGAACAGGAUUUGGAUCAUUUACCUCAUCCAUAUCACAUACACUGCAAAAGUCUAGAUCUUUCCAAUUAACAUGAACAGCUCUGUAACCACGGAGGGUAUCCCCACCAUUUUCAAAAUACUUCAAACACGACCUUGCAUUUGGCAACUCCUAACAAAUACACAAGUAACUUUGAAGUUAACAAAGAUAAAGAAUGGUAUGCAUUAUCUAAAGCAUACUAAUAUGAAGUCAAUACAAAGAAGAAGGCAAAAGCCCUGACAGAGAAGGACAUCACUACAUGGCAACAAUGAUUUCCAUUUUUCAAUGAAACUUGUAAACACGCAUCUACAAUAUGUGCAUCAAUGUUUUCACCAAAGACAACUCUUUUUUUGUGGAAAAUGAAAGGAAAUGCUGGUAAGGCGAGCACGGUAGUAUCAAAGCAUAAAAGUAGAUUCACCAACAUAAAUGAUUUAUUCAAUCCCAACCUCGGGGUGAACAAGAUAAACAAAAAAUAUAUUCUCCUUUUUGUCCAUGAGGAAGAACUCAGACAUUAAAGAACGCAUUGGCUCUUUCCUGAUCAUAAUGUAAUACUAGUAUGAAUGAACAAAAUAUGAAUUUGCAAUAAAUGGUAAUGUCUCCUCAUCCAACAAAAGGGCUAUCUGAAGCAAUGGAAAGCAUCGCCAAACUAAGUAAAAUAGAGUGUUGACUAACUUGAAAUACUAGGUUGACGGCUGAAGUGUAUGGCAUCAGCCAAUCACAUAUUCACAGAGACAACAAAACUUUCAAUCCACAAAAGUCCAGUACCAGAUACAUGGGUGGGUAUAAAUCAAAUAACCAAUAAUACUGAGCUGAAAUACAAAUAACAAAAGGCCAUAGACAAAACUUAGACUUACAGAAAUGAUUAUCAAAACAAAUGUGCAUUUAUAAAAGAAACAAAAGACCUUUCUUAAAGAUGAAUUAAUUGUCUAGCACCAAUGCAUUGCCUAACAAAAGUAAUACUGAUAAAAUGAAGCGUGAAAACCAUGAAAGCUAUUUGUUUAAAAACCUGAAUAAGCUGCCUAAUUUGUGGGUUUGAAAAGCCAAACAUGUCUGAACCAGAUCUCUGACAAACAUUUCCUUCCAGUUCCGAGGCAACAUUGCACUGUUUUUGUUUUAUCCUGCAGUAUAUCUCCUUCCAGCAUGCAUUAGGCGUAGAGCCAUCAAUCUGGUCAACAAAAGGCAUCAUGUUAGUAAAUGUACAGAUUUCGAACUGCUGAAUUUGUCAAAAUGCUGCUAUCCAAGGUAUAUCAAGAGGGUUUCGCUGAUAAUCCUAAAAUACGCUCUUUUUAAUGAACUGUGCAGUGAUCAUUCAGAGCAGUAAAUAAAUUGGCUGAUUUGAGAAGAGACUCAGUUUGUGGUUACUGCAUUGUGUUGCACUUAACUUAUUUUAUAAUCUGCUGCAGAAACUUAGCCACGGAAGUAGGAAAUACCGAAAUAAUCUAAUGAGAAGGUGAUGCAACACAGCCAGGAAUAUAUGAAGGCAGCUAUUCACUGCAGUUCAAGGUACAUUUAGUCACAAUGCCACCUAAGCGAGCUUGAUAGACGUAUUAUUAGAGCAUCAUCUACAAGUAUAGUAAAGCAAACAUUCCAUCACAGCAUCAUGCAACAUGCACAAUGAGACGAGGACACUAGCUUAUAUAUGUGAAUUUCUUCAUAAUAGUAAACUAAAUUUUAGCAAGUGACGCAGACAGCAAUAUUCAUUGUUGAUAUUGCUAAGAAACUAUCAUCUGCAUUGGUCCUUAGGAUAUCCCUUCCAUACAUGGCAAUGCAACACAACAUCAUGAUAUGCUUUACGCUUAUGCUUAACACUAAAGAUUCAGCAAAAUGGAGUACCAACAUUAACAGGAUCGGUACUAGUACAAAAAUUUCAAUCUGCUUACCUGCAAUCCAUCUUCAGAGAUCACCCUAAACAACGGUCGUGCUUUUAUAUCUGAAUUCCUCAGUACUUCCAUUUUGUAAGAUGUUACUAGGUGUGGAUCUGUGAAAGUAUUACAAUGUACUCAUAAAACAUACUCUCAUGAGAGUAAACUGUUCCAAAAUGGAACACCAAAUUUCAUGCAAGCUUGAUGACAGUCUGGAGCUGAACAAAUACCUUUUACUGAUGCGAACUUCCUGAAAGCAGUAUACCCUUCAGGCCAUAUGUGCAUUUUGUUAUGGAAAUGGUCUGAAUCAGAUACUAUCCUGCCUGGAAAUAAACUCAAACAAUCAGGUUUGUUAUAUACUCAGAAGAACGAACAAAGGAGGAAAUGCAGACGCAUAUAAACAUAAACAUGCAGAGCUCAGUCAGCACCAAGAAAAGGGGUCAGCAGAAGAUAUACAACAGCAUAAACAGAAGAUGUAUAUGACAAAUAAGAGCUCCAUAUAUGCUCGAAGGCAAUAGAGUGUCAUCUUAAGUAAUGUUCAGAAUGAUUUCUCUGAUGGAAACCUUCUAUGCCUACAUUAAACACAAUCAAAAUGGAGUUUCAAUGGUAUAACUUUUAUGGCACAUAAAGUUAAAUGACAAAAUAUGAAGACACAACAUAAAUUGGGAUGGAGGGAGUAAAUGGAAAUCAAUUAUUUCUUUUGAAGGGUUAUGGGUAGGAAGAACAAACUAAAACAGAUCAGUGUUUUGGAUUAUUGGUGCUAGUGCAAUCUGAACUGCAUCAUCCUUGAACAUAUAACAUAUGUCCAUAUCUCUGGAACAGAUAUAAUUCCACUAUCCAGCAAGGUUUUUGAGUCGACGAGUCGUUCUGGGGUAGCAACUCUUGACUAGUCGUGACUAGUCAAGACUCAUGGUCGAUGAGUCGACGUGCGACAGUCGACAUGAGUUAGGCAAUAGGUACAAUAAAAUUACCAUAGUAUAUGUAUACCUGGACAUCAAUAAAAUUACCAUAGUAUAUAUAUAUACUUAUUAAUAGUCUAAUAAAAAAUGAGUCGUUCGACUCAAAAACCACGACUAGUCGAUCGACUCAUCCAACUAGUCGAGUCGACAUGUUGAGCCGACCUGCCAGUUGCGACUCGUCAAUUAGUCGGCGACUAGUCGCUCGACUCAAAAACAGUGCUAUCCAGAAGUGCCAAGUCUGCUUGUGUCUCCCACCAAGGAAAACUUGCAUAAAGCGGCAGCAUCGUAGCUCAAAAAGGCAGUCCAAGAUUCAAGUGAGAAACAGGGCAUCCUUGAAAUGGGUAGGAUGGACAUGCUUCCAGAGCAUUUUUUGCAUCUUCAAACUUAGCUGGUUACUCUAUUUACGCACGCGCGCNNNNNNNNNNNNNNNNNNNNNNNNNNNNNNNNNNNNNNNNNNNNNNNNNNNNNNNNNNNNNNNNNNNNNNNNNNNNNNNNNNNNNNNNNNNNNNNNNNNNNNNNNNNNNNNNNNNNNNNNNNNNNNNNNNNNNNNNNNNNNNNNNNNNNNNNNNNNNNNNNNNNNNNNNNNNNNNNNNNNNNNNNNNNNNNNNNNNNNNNNNNNNNNNNNNNNNNNNNNNNNNNNNNNNNNNNNNNNNNNNNNNNNNNNNNNNNNNNNNNNNNNNNNNNNNNNNNNNNNNNNNNNNNNNNNNNNNNNNNNNNNNNNNNNNNNNNNNNNNNNNNNNNNNNNNNNNNNNNNNNNNNNAUACCUAGGUUGCUCACACGAAGAUUCCCUAGUUCUAUUUGAGUCAUUUCAGCAUCCUCUCCAUUUUCUUCUGCUCUUUCUUCUGAUAAAUUAUCACAAGAGCCUAUCGCGUCAUCUUGGCCAUUAACAUCAGAACCAUCAUUUUCAAUGGAUUUCCGAAGUUGCAACAUAUUUUCUGGAAGCUGUUGGGUGAGGAGAAACCUACACAAUCGAUAUUUUUCAGUAUCAUACCAAUAGGGCAUCAUGAAAGAUAACAGAAAAUCUUUCAAGUCUAUGAUGUGUAUUCAGGAAAAAAAAAACAAUUAUUGCUUAAAAAUAUAUAAGAGGUUCUGGACUCAUACUCCUUGGCUUCUUCUAAGCCUCGGGAGAAGCGUGCUUGCUUGCAUUUGAGAUGCAAGGAAGAAAGAAGGCCAUUCAGAAAGGGCACCGCCUGCUUCAACUUAAUCCUGAGGUAGAAACACAACUUUAGUGUACUGCUUUGAAAGAAAAAGAAAAAAUAUGCUAUAAUCUUUUCACAGAACCAAACCUUGCAAAAUCAUGGGUGCCAAAGAAUUGAACAAGUAUUGAUUGAUCUAACCGAAUUGGCUUGAGGGCCCGGCUAGCAUGAACAUUUGACUCGUCCACUAUAACAGCUGGCCACAUUGCAUGACCUGUUGAGGCACACUAGGCUCAUUACAUGAGAACAAAUUUCAAGUCACUGAGAAAAGUGAGAGCCUACACGUAAAAGGGAGCACUGAAAGAUGGCAAAUCAACCACAUAACUGAAUGAAACAAUUGAACAGAAAGGGAAAUCCAUGUCACUUGUUUACUUUAGGAAUGUAGGAAUGCGGAGGAAAAUAGCACUCAAUUAUCAAAUAACAAGUAUGACAGGUAAUUGAGGAGAUGAAUAAUGAAAAUGUUAAAUAAUAAAUCAAUACUGGGCUUAACACUAGAAAGCAUUUUCUGCAAAAGAGACAGUUAACCAUCUAACACAUGUGAUGUGCACGAGAAAUCAAAUAAAGUUGUAAGUUGAUGCAAAACUAUAAUAAACACUAGAAUAAAUAAAGUAUCACAUGGUAAAAGUUCAAAGUAAUCUGGAUAAUGACUACAAACAAUGGAAUAAAACUUGUGAUGACUGACAGAAUAAACAGAAAGGACCGUUGGCAUCUAAUCGCAGUUAACAGCUGGAAGCAUCGGCACUCAUAAGAAAAAGACAUAGGAGUACCUGUUAUUUUAGCCCACACUAGAUCAUCUGGAUCAAGACCUUGGUAGUCAUGAAAGCUGACAGCAAGUGCAAGCAGCUCAUCGUAUCCCUUCUUAUCCAGGUUAGAUGUUCCAAAUUUCAGGUUCAGGCUCUUCAUUUCCUCGGAUGAAAUGGAAAACUGUAUCCUUUCAUUAGCUAGGGUAAGGUCUUCUGCUUCACCAUCAUCAUACUUCACCUGCAAUUCGUUUAGCUUUAGAUAUCAACUACACAACAUUUCACAUGGCACUCUUCAUAGUGCAGACAUUACAUGGAAAACAGAGUGGUACAUAACGAGCCUUUUAGUAAGGAAAAUGCAGAAAAGAUUAUCAAAUUCAACUGUGGAUAAUCCACUGAGGCACAGCAAAUUUUCAUGAAUAAGAAAAAUAAGAACCAGGGAUGUAGAAAGCAUACAGAAUGCUUCUUGGUUAGUUCCGUGUAGGCCGUGAUGGAACCCUUGUACCAAUCAUCAUCUAGGGGCCAGAAAACCUGCAUUCACCAUCAAAAUUCAGGCCCCAGUUUGGCUGCAUUCCAUAUAGUGAUGAAACAACCACAUGCUCACAACAGACGUCGUCAAGAACUUACCUUGCACACUAAACCGACAAACGCCUGCGGAUCGGCACCCUGAAUUUCCAACCUGCGACAAAGCCAGCGUCAAAAUUACACAGAGAACAAGUAUUCUAGUUGGCCGUUCCUUGUUGCUGAAGCCGUGAGGAGAGUUUCAUUGCGAAGCAAGCACAGAUCCAACUUACUCUACCCAUCUCUUCUCAGAUGGAGAGGCGGCCUCCAGCUGGCUGCUGCGGCGCCGUCGCCUCCGGGGCGCCGAAGUGCUCUCCUUCUGCACUCCCCCUCUGCGCCUCGGCUGCCGUCGCCCCAGCAGCUCCUCCCCGUCUCUAUCCGCGCCCAAUGCAGGCGGGGCGGACCCCAGGCUGAGCAGCUCGUGCUUGAGCGGGCGCUUCCGCCGCGAGCCCCUGCCCAGCGCCUCCUCCUCCUCCUCCUCCUCCUCCUCCUCCGGCUGCCGCGGCGCAGUGGCGGGCGAGGACGGCCGUGGCUCCUCGAGCCGCGGCUUCUUGCGGCGACGGCGGUAGUAGACGAUCACGGGCGGCUUGCCGCCCGCGGCGGCGGAGGCGGAGCUGCGGGGCUUCUUGGGGGGCGGGCAGGGGGCGGUGGAGGAGUAGACGCGGCCGAGGGGGAGGUAGCGCAUGGGGUGGUCCCCGUCCUCCCCCUCGUCCUGGUGCACGAAGCUCCCCUCCACGGCGAUCACCAUGGCCGGCGGGUAGGGUUUCGGGUGCCGCUCCUCCAGCGCUGCACGCCCUAGGGCUUUCGGGGAUUUGGGGAUUGCAGGGGGGUUCAGUGAGGGGGGGAGGUUCCCGUUUGGGGUGGGCGACGCGUCGCCAAAUCUUUUGGGGGGGCUCAGCGCGGGAGCUAGCAUCGCCUCCGCGCCUCUCUCUAUCUCUCUCACCGCGGAGCUGGAUGGGGAUUUCCCGAUUUCUUUUCUCCGCGGCAACCCUCCUCCGCUCUGCUGGCUGCUGCGCCUGCGCUGCUGUCUCCCGUUGUUGCCAGUGCCAGUGUGCAUUGCCCGUUUGCUGGUCUUCUAGCCAUCAUACCACGGGGUCUCUGCGGUCUUCUUUUCUUCUCCGUCAGUGUUCCAAUUAGGCUUCGAGUUAGAUGUAAGAAGAAUAUGAAUCCCGAUACAAUAAUAGUAUUUCUAGACAGAUUUUAUACUUGCAUUGGGGUCUAUCAAAGUGCAUGGUAUCCGGCUUAAACAUUCAAAUAUGGAAAAAAACGCAAACCAGUCGAUUUGAAACGGACGGCUUGGGGCCAUUGAAUCUAAAACGAGCGGCGAGAUCAUCGUCUUCUUCCUCCGACCGUUUUUCUUCCCGCGCUCUUCAUAUUCAUCCUCUCCUCUCUCACGGGACAAAGAUUUCUCCCCCUCCCCAGCCCACCCUUCGCCUCGUCUCCGGAGAGUUCCCGUCCAAGCCGGCUCAGGCUCCAUACAAUCCGAGCGGUGAUCGAAGCUAAAAGGCCCCCAUAUGCACAUGUCUAACCUCUAGCUCGCCUCUGUUUGCAAUCCGUGGCGGCGGCGGCUCACUCCUAAGGAGGCCCCGACGAGGAUGCCUUGACCGUUGCGCCAUCCCCGGGUUGGCCUCAUGUGUUGCCGCUCCUUCCCGCAAGAACAGACUAAUGCGAUUAGGGUUUUCACGCAAACCAGGGAAUAGCAAACCGUCAAUUCUUUAGUGUUUAGCAUCUGAACUGAGAAAUAAAUAUGUUGAAUUGGCAAUAGUACUUGAUGUCAAGUCGAGAAAAACAGUAGUCCCUUUCUUUGCUUGCAUCAAAGGUCAACGGAUAGAGAAAUCCAUCUUCAUCGUCGAUUGAAUCAAAGCGCAUGUCCAUCGCUCCUUUGACAGUUCGUUGUAUUAGCUUCCAUCUAGAUUUGUUCUUACGUCCAAGAUGAAGAUAGAAUCACACACGCUAAUUACUCACCUCUGUCACCGGGGAUUGAAGCUUUGCAGGGUCGUUGCUCGGUCAAGAACAUUGUCGAUCCUUAUUGUUGCCUCCAAGAGAAGAGAAUGGUGUGGCGGUGUCGAAAGCACGCUGUGGAAAACAUACAAUUCUAGAUUUGUUGGCAAAAAAGGAAACAAUGUGAGAAAGACGAACAAGUGUGUGCACGGGAAUGAAAGCGGCAAAGUGGGAGGUAUUUUGGGAAUGCAUGGUUACCAUGAGAUAAAACCUUCUAUUUCAAGUUAACAAAGGCCUUGCAAGACAUACCUUCGUGCAUAAAUGGAUUAUAUCAUACAUGCCAAUAUCAAGUUAACCUUCUAGUUUAGUAAUGCUCGGGCAAUUGGAAAUUAAUAUAGGGUGAAUGUGUACAUCAUAUCUCUAAACGUGUUACUCAUGAAAACAUAGGGCCCUAUAGCCAACUUAGUCAUCCGACUUGCUCAAUCCUGUUGAAAAUUAAUGGAUAGUGUUGUGCUUAUCAUGUUUAUAAUUUUGUUAUGUGUGAUCAAUUACGACUAUAAACUCAUCCACCCCACAAAGGUGUCUGGACUAGUGAAACUGCAUUGUCUCCCAAAAUUUAGUUUGGUGUUGAUGAUAAUAGGGUUAGUGAGGACUAAUGUCGUUUAUCAAGUUUACCUCGGGACAUUGGUCUCUCGGUGAUUGUUUACAUACAAGAUUGACCUCAUAUUUCAAAAUGGAAAAGGACAUUGGUUUUUCGAAGACUCUAAGGUUUUUCAAUUCCAUUUGAGUCAUAGGACAACAUGAUUAUUAAGAGGGGUCAAGGUGUUUAAGGAAGUUGGGGAACAUACCUACUAUACAUACAUUCUUCCCGCUACGCCAAAUCAUUCAAAGGGUAAAACCCUAAGCAAAUCUAAGAUGUGAUGGGACCCCCUAGGUCCCCCGGGUCUAGGGGAUGGGUCCCUAGAGUCCUUGUCAUUCUACCUUUGGACACCACGGGUCCCCAAACUCGCGGACCUCCAGGUUCCCGGAGCCCCCAACCCAUUAGAAACAAGUCCCUCUAUAUGGCUUAGGUCUCCGGGGACAUGUACCUCCAUGAAAGUGCAUUCAUCUCUAAAUGGCAUUGUGUGAUGGAAAUGUGGUUAAUGGAGCUAGUGACGAUUGUUGAGAUUAUUCUCAGGUCACUGGUGUCGGGGUUACGAUCCUGACAAUGAGUACUAGGGGUACGAAUAAGGGGCAAAACCUAGCUACGGCGCAGGUGUAACACUCGGUGUUUAGCGAGUUCAGGCCCCUCUCGACGGAGGUAAAAGCCCUACGUCUUGCUUUGAUUUUAUGGGUGUGGUUACAAAGAUUGCUCGUGUCUGGCUAUGGAGGGGGGUGCGACUUAUAUAGAGUGCGCAGCAGCCCCAUGUCUCCCACGCCGCCGAGGCAGUUAAUGACAUUGAAUGGGUCAGUUACCAGUAUAAUGAGCCUAUAUUACAACAGUUACAGGUAACGGUAGGUAUAACUCUAUUUAGUGGAUGACUUAGGAUUCCUCGACCGUUGCGGCUCCCACUACGCCCUCCCGCCUUCUAUGUCCGACUGGUGGUACAUCAGCCGAGUGACGUGUGGUUGUCCGAGUGUCGUCAAGUUGUCCGAGUGAACUUCCCGAUGUAUGCAUCUGAAUGUUGGCAUGGUCCAGGGACCUACCUAUGAUGGUGAUGGGUCCCAUGUGGGUCCCAAGUGAUGGGUCCUUGACCCUACACUACAAAAAAAUGCACUUCCGUGAUAAUACGUGUUUGUCACAGUAGGUCACUUUUUUGUCAUGCAUGUACAUCCAUGACGAUUUUAUGACAGAAUCAAGAUAGUCAUACUUGUGCUGUUGUAGAAGUGUUCCAUGACAAUACCAAAAUUAUCAUCACGGAAGUGUCCACUUCCAUGACGAUAAAUAGCGCGUCAUGGAAGUGCUUUCGUCAAGGGUAACCGACACGUGGCAUCCACCGUAACCGGUCGCCUUUAAGCUAUCGGGUUCCGGUUUGGAUCCGAUAACCCGUUAACCGCCCGGACCAAUGGGGAUUUUCCACAUGUAAAAUUCUGAUUCGCCUUAGUAUCCACGUGGCAGCUCCUGGUUGGGACAGGUGUCAUCAAGUGAGUGGACGGGACGAGCAUAUGGUACGUCGACACGUGGCUUAGCCCAACAGUGGCCCGUUUAGGUUAAAAGGCGGGUCCUGUCAAAAUAAGCGGGCUGGCCCAUUAGCGGCCUACUUGAGUCAGGGCCAUUCACAAGCACGACCCAUACAAGUUACACAAAAUCGGCCCAUCAAGGCCCAUUCUAGAUUUGACAAUUUUCAGCCCAUCGUCAGUUCCAGCCCGUUAAGAGUCCGCUACAUCUUUGGGCCCAAUUACGACCUGACCUUCUUUUGGCCUGUUAGCAGCCCAUCGUCAAUUCCAUCCCGUUAACGGCCCGGUACGUCUUUCGGCCUUUUCUCGGCCCAUUCUACAGUUGGGCCAACUUCUAGCCCGUUGUGACUUUCAGACUUUCCUCGGCCCAUUAGGUAAAUGGGCCAAUUCCUAGCUCAUUCUGUCUUUCGGCCUGUUAACGGCCCGCACAACAGUUGGUCCUUUGACGGUGUAACCUGAAUUUGGGUCCAUUAGCGGCCCACGUUCCGCAGGGCACAGUUUCAGCCCGACGCGACUUUCGGCCUGUUAAAAGCCUAGUUUGCAAAUUGGGCCUCUUCUGGCCCAAAACACUUCCGGCCUCUUACUGGCCCGUCGAGUAAAAGGGCCGAGACAAAAUUGACAUUUAUUUCGGCAUGCUAGUGCCCGCGGGCCAUUUCCAUUUAUACGGCCCUAUCGAGCUUUCGGCCUGUUAACGGCCUGCUAAGAGCCAUUGUUACGGUGGGCCACAUAAUUUGGGAUCCGCUAAAUAUUAAGUUGACCAACCCAAUUAAGGCCCGCUUUGACUACACAUGUUUGUUCGUUCGGAUGGCGUCCAGGUAAUGUUUGGGCGUGUUGGCCCCGUUUCAAUGAUAUACCAUAUACAAGGAAUUAUCCUACUUUAUACUAUCGCCUCUAAAAAACCUACACUAUACAAUAAAGAGAUUAAGACAUAGAAACGAAUAAUAAUCCUACACUAUACAAUAAAGAAAUUACAACGGAUUAUACCCACCAGUGAUAAUAAAGCGUACACAAACAGCAAAUUACAUACACUGGGCAAAUAAAGCUCAUACAUCAUCACGGGCGGAGACAGGAGCGAGCAGGGGCUAGACCCCCCCCCCAUCGAUAGGCCCCCCUCAAUGAAUCGAUCAGCCUAAUACUACUGUAUAGCAGCGUAUUAUCUGCUGAUGGCCAAUGUCCGUAGUUAAUUACUCCUGUAAAAAAAGUACAUUAAGGCCCAAAAACGUUGAUAGCCUGUAUCACAUGUACGUACCGAAGCCCACAACAGAGCCCAUAUUUAUCUUUGGAGUAUUAUUAGGCGAUGGUCAAUUGUGACCUAGCGCAAGCUAUUCAGAUCGAUCACCGAUUCUACUUGUACGCCGCUCACUGCUAUGCUUGUCACCAGCCGUCGCGGCGCCAUCUAUCCAAGCCCGUUGGCAUUGCCUUUGCCUGAGUAGAUCCUGCCGUGAUGAGGAGACGCCGACGUCCAUGCCAUCGGGCAUGAGCCCGUCGAUGAGCUUAUUUAUUCCUCAAGCAAUCAGGUACCACAUCCAGGGUAGUUAUUUUCUAAUGGAUUUCACAGUUGUUGUCUAAUUAACUACUAGUAGUGUUUCUUGAUUCUGUCUUAACUAGUUUACCACACGGCGCAAACUAAUCAAUAUUGCUUCACUUGGAUUUGUACGUCACUUUAUUAAUCUACAUAUUAGAUGCGUUUUUUGGUUCAUACGAGAUGACUUACUUGGACAUUAUCGCUAUACUCGAAAAUAAAUAGCAACAAAAUGUCAUCGGGAUGAGAUUAUCUCAUUGUUCAAUGAGCAUAUAGUUAUAAUCCAAUCAUAUGAACCUUUUUCAUAUUUACCAACAUAUUUUUGCUAUUUCUUUUAUCUCAGUGGUAUUGUUUAGAUAUAUUGUGUUAGAUGUAUUGUGCUUUAUCAUCCAAAUGAAAUUCUAAUACAAAACGACACACAGUUACUUGUGUGUUUGGAAAAGAAAAAUCUUUUGCGUGACCUUCCCCCCUCAUGUGCAAAUCCUGGCUCCGCCCCUCUACAUCAUGGGCACGCAUCAACAGAACUUACCAUUUGAACUAUAAUCUCUUCAAAAAAUAGGAUUGGCCGUUUCAGAUAGCACAAAUUUCAGUCUACAAAAUCUCCAAUUCCUUUGUGGUUACCUCAGUGUCUUGUUUCAUUUUUUUGACUCCUACAUCUAAUACCUGCAAGUCCAGUCUCAACAUGUUGAUUGCAUGUUGAGAAUCAUGUACACGUUGUCUUGCCACCUCUAGUUGAUGCUCGAGAACAUCGGCAUAUUCCAAUUCCAAUCCAUAAUCAUUUGGUAACGGCCAUGCCGCACUGCUCUCAGAUCAUUGUGUUGAUGUCACUUCAUCUUGAAAUGUUUAUGUAAGUACACAUGACUAGGGCAAAAAUAUAGUUACAACAGUGAAGCAAGCAAGACAGACUAUUUUGUACAUGGCAAAACAGGACUAACAAUAAUGUUACAUGUCAUGAAGCAUAAGCAGGUGAUAUUUUAAAAAUUAUAAAAAUGAUAGUUUGUGCAGCCCGCAUACAGAAAUCUCUCUUAGCUCACUAGAGGAGAAUGAUGUUGGGGCCAAAUCCAAAACACAGACAUGUUACAAAUUUAGACCACACGGAGCUACUGAACAUUAUAUAUAUAUACUAGCAAGAUGCCCGCGUGUUGCACGGAACAUCAAGAUGCAUUUGUAUGAGUAGUUUAUCUUGUGAGAGAAAAUGAUGAACGAGGGAAGGCCUUAUUUGCAAAUGUGGAGAGGGGUGUGAUAACCCACAAGUAUAGGGGAUCGUUUGUAGUAUUUUUCGAUAAAUAAGAGUGUCGAACCCAAUGAGGAGCUAAAGAUAGAACAAAUAUUCCCUCAAGUUCUAUCGACCACCGAUACAACUCUAAGCACACUUGACGUUUGCUUGCUUUACCUAGAACAAGUAUGAAACUAUUUUGCAAGAAUAAAACUACGAGUACUUUGCGAGAAUAAAACUACGAAUAAAUUGCAGGGCAAUAAAAGUGGAUAGCUUUUGUCAACAAGAAAGUCAAUUGUCCCAAGGCAAUCGAUAACAAGUACCGGUAAUCAUUCUUGCAAUUUUAUAUAAGGGAGAGGCAUGAGCUAACAUACUUUCUCUACUUGGAUCAUACGCACUUAUCAUUGGAUCCCUAGCAAGCAUCCGCAACUACCAAAGAUCAUUAAGGUCGUGAAACCCAACCAUAGCAUUAAGUAUCAAGUCCUCUUUAUCCCAUAUGCAACAAUCCACUUACUCGGGUUUAAGCUUCUGUCACUCUCGCAAUCCACCAUAAGCGAAUCAUGAACGCAUUGCAACACCCUACAGCGAGGACCCCUCAUGUUUGCGUGAGAUGAAGGGCACCGUAGGACAUCACCAUAAAUAAAAUAUACAAUCAUACUGCUACCUCUUGAGCACUGCGUUGGUUUUUCCCUUAAAGAGGAAAGGGUGAUGCAGUAAAGUAGCGUAAGUAUUUCUCUUAGUUUUUGAGAACCAAGGUAUCAAUCCAGUCGGAGACCACGCUCAAGUCCCUCGCACCUACACAAACAAAUAAGAAGCUCGCAACCAACACGAUAAAGGGGUUGUCAAUCCCUUCACGGUCACUUACGAUAGUGAGAUCUGAUAGAUAUGAUAAGAUAAUAUUUUUGGUAUUUUUAUGAUAAAGAUGCAAAGUAAAAUAAAAGGCAAUAAAAAUAGCUAAGUGUUGGAAGAUUAAUAUGAUGGAAAAUAGACCCGGGGGCCAUAGGUUUCGCUAGUGGCUUCUCUCAAGAGCAUAAGUAUUACGGUGGGUGAACAAAUUACUGUCGAGCAAUUGAUAGAAUUAAGCAUAGUUAUGAGAAUAUCUAGGUAUGAUCAUGUAUAUAGGCAUCACGUCCGUGACAAGUAGACCGACUCCUGCCUGCAUCUACUACUAUUACUCCACACAUCAACCGCUAUCCAGCAUGCAUCUAGAGUAUUAAGUUCAUAAGAACAGAGUAACGCUUUAAGCAAGAUGACAUGAUGUAGAGGGAUAAACUCAUGCAAUAUGAUAUAAACCCCAUCUUGUUAUCCUCGAUGGCAACAAUACAAUACGUGUCGUUUCCCUUUCUGUCACUGGGAUCGAGCACCGCAAGAUUGAACCCAAAGCUAAGCACUUCUCCCAUUGUAAGAAAGAUCAAUCUAGUAGGCCAAACCAAACUGAUAAUUCGAAGAGACUUGCAAAGAUAACCAAUCAUACAUAAAAGAAUUUAGAGGAGAUUCAAAUGUUGUUCAUAGAUAAACUUGAUCAUAAACCCACAAUUCAUCGGUCCCGACAAACACACCGCAAAAGAAGAUUACAUCGAAUAGAUCUCCACGAGAAUCGUGGAGAACUUUGUAUUGAGAUCCAAAGAGAGAGAAGAAGCCAUCUAGCUAAUAACUAUGGACCCGAAGGUCUGAGGUAAACUACUCACACAUCAUGAGAGGCUAUGGUGUUGAUGUAGAAGCCCUCCGUGAUCAGUGCCCCCUCCGGUAGGACGCCGGAAAAGGCCCCAAGAUGGGAUCUCACUGGUACAGAAGGUUGCGGCGGUGGAAUUAGGUUUUCAUGGAUGCCUCUGUUGGUUUGGGGGUACGUAGGUAUAUAUAGGAGGAAGAAGUACGUCGGUGGAGCAACGUGGGCCCCACGAGGGUGGAGGGCGCACCUGGGGGGUAGGCGCGCCCCCCUACCUCGUGCUCUCCUUGUUGCUUUCUUGGCGUAGACUCCAAGUCCUCUGGAUCACGUUUGUUCCGAAAAUCACGUUCCCAAAGGUUUCAUUCCGUUUGGACUCCGUUUGAUAUUCUUUUUCUGCGAAACACUGAAAUAGGCAAAAAACAGCAAUUUGGGCUGGGCCUCCGGUUAAUAGGUUAGUCCCAAAAAUAAUAUAAAAGUGUAUAAAUAAGCCCAUUAAACAUCCAAAACAGAAUAUAAUAUAGCAUGGAACAAUAAAAAAUUAUAGAUACGUUGGAGACGUAUCAAGCAUCCCCAUGCUUAAUUCCUGCUCGUCCUCGAGUAGGUAAAUGAUAAUACUUCAAGCAUACUAACUAAGCAAUUAUGUCUUCUCAAAAUAACAUGGCCAAAGAAAGUUAUCCCUGCAAAAUCAUAUAGUCUGGCUAUGCUCUAUCUUCAUCACACAAAAUAUUUAAAUCAUGCACAACCCCGAUGACAAGCCAAGCAAUUGUUUCAUACUUUUGGUGUUCUCAAACUUUUUCAAUCUUCACGCAAUACAUGAGCGUGAGCCAUGGACAUAGCACUAUAUGUGGAAUAGAAUGGUGGUUGUGGAGAAGACAAAAAAGGAAGAAGAUGGUCUCACAUCAACUAGGCGUAUUAACGGGCUAUGGAGAUGCCCAUCAAUAGAUAUCAAUGUGAGUGAGUAGGGAUUGCCAUGCAACGGAUGCACCAGAGCUAUAAGUAUAUGAAAGCUCAACAAAAGAAAAUAAGUGGGUGUGCAUCCAACUUGCUUGCUCAAGAAGACCUAGGGCAUUUUGAGGAAGCCCACCAUUGGAAUAUACAAGCCAGGUUCUAUAAUGAAAAUUACCCACUAGUAUAUGAAAGUGACAACAUAAGAGACUCUCUAUCAUGAAGAUCAUGGUGCUACUUUGAAGCACAAGUGUGGUAAAAAGGAUAGUAGCAUUGUCCCUUCUCUCUUUUUUCUCUCAUUUUUUAUAUAUGGCCUUUCUCUUUUUUAUGGCCUUUCUCUUUUUUUUUUCUUUUUUUUUAGUACGGAGUCUCAUCCCGACUUAUGGGGGAAUCAUAGUCUCCAUCAUCCUUUCCUCACUUGGGACAAUGCUCUAAUAAUGAUGAUCAUCACACUUUUAUUUUCUUACAACUCAAGAAUUACAACUCAAUACUUAGAACAACAAUAUGACUCUAUGUGAAUGCCUCCGGCGGAAUACCGAGAUAUGCAAUGAAUCAAGAGUGACAUGUAUGAAAGAAUUAUGAACAGUGGCUUUGCCACAAAUACAAUGUCAACUACAUGAUCAUGCAAAGCAAUAUGACAAUGAUGGAGCGUGUCAUAAUAAACGGAACGGUGGUAAGUUGCAUGGCAAUAUAUCUCGAAAUGGCUAUGGAAAUGCCAUGAUAGGUAGGUAUGGUGGCUGUUUUGAGGAAGGUAUAUGGUGGGUGUAUGAUACCGGCGAAAAGUGUGCGGUAUUAGAGAGGCUAGCAAUGGUGGAAGGAUGAGAGUGCGUAUAAUCCAUGGACUCAGCAUUAGUCAUAAAGAACUCAUAUACUUGUUGCAAAAAUCUAUUAGUUAUCGAAACAAAGUAUUACGCGCAUGCUCCUAGGGGGGUAGAUUGGUAGGAAAAGACCAUCGCUCGUCCCCGACCGCCACUCAUAAGGAAGAUAAUCAAUAAAUAAAUCAUGCUUCGACUUCAUCACAUAACGGUUCACCAUACAUGCAUGCUACGGGAAUCACAAACUUUAACACAAGUAUUUCUCAAAUUCAAAACUACUCAACUAGCAUGACUCGAAUAUUACCAUCUUCAUAUCUCAAAACAAUUAUCAAGCAUCAAACUUCUCAUAGUAUUCAACACACUCAUAAGAUUUUUUUUACUAAUCUUGAAUGCCUAUCAUAAUUAAAGCAAAUUACCACGUUGUUUUGUAGGACUCUCAAAAUAAUAUAAGUGAAGCAUGAGAGAACAAUAGUUUCUAUAAAAUAAAUCCACCGCCGUGCUCUAAAAGAUAUAAGUGAAGCACUCGAGCAAAAACUAUAUAGCUCAAAAGAUAUAAGUGAAGCACAUAGAGUAUUCUAACAAUUUCCGAAUCAAGUGUGUCUCUCUCAAAAGGUGUGUACAGCAAGGAUGAUUGUGGCAAACUAACAAAUAAAUACUCAAACAAUACAAGACGCUCCAAGCAAAACACAUAUCAUGUGGUGAAUAAAAAUAUAGUUCCAAGUAAAUUUACCGAUGGAUGAGGACGAAAGAGGGGAUGCCUUCCGGGGCAUCCCCAAGCUUUGGCUUUUAGGUGUCCUUAGAUUAUCUUGGGGUGCCAUGGGCAUCCCCAAGCUUAGGCUCUUGCCACUCCUUGUUCCAUACUCCAUCAAAUCUUUACCCAAAACUUGAAAACUUCACAACACAAAACUUAACAGAAAAUCUCGUGAGCUCCGUUAGCGAAAGAAAAUAAAACACCAGUUCAAGGUACUGUAAUGAACUCAUUCUUUAUUUAUAUUGGUGUUAAACCUACUGUAUUCCAACUUCCCUAUGGUUUAUAAACUAUUUUACUAGCCAUAGAUUCAUCAAAAUAAGCAAACAACACCCGAAAAACAGAAUCUGUCAAAAACAGAACAGUCUGUAGUAAUCUAUAACUAACGCAAACUUCUGGAACUCAAAAAAAUCUACCAAAAUAGGACGACAUAGAAAAUUUGUUUAUUGUUCUGCUGCAAUUGGAAUCAAUAUUUUAUCACGUUCUGGUGAUUUUCAACAAUUGUUUUUGUGAACAGAAAGUUUCUGGAAUUUUCAGCAAGAUCAAAUAACUAUCAUCCAAGAAGAUCCUAUAGGUUUAACUUGGCACAAACACUAAUUAAAACAUAAAAACAAAUCUAACCAGAGGCUAGAUCAAAUAUUUAUUCCUAAACAGGAGCAAAAGCAAAACUAAAACUAAAAUAAAAUUGGGUUGCCUCCCAACAAGCGCUUUUCUUUAAAGCCUUUUAGCUAGGCAUAGACGCGAGGAUGCUCACAUGAAAGACAAGAAUUGAAGUGCAAAGAGAGCAUCAUAAAACACGUGACAAACACAUCUAAGUCUAACAUACUUCCUAUGCAUAGGCAUCUUAUAGGCAAACAAAUUAUCAUAGCAAGCAAAAACUAGCAUAUGCAAGGAAGCGGAAAGAAACGAUAGCAAUCUCAACAUAACGAGAGGUAAUUUAUUAUCAUGAAAAUUUCUACAACCAUAUUUUCCCCUCUCAUAAUACUUGCAUGUGGGAUCAUAAGCAAAUUCAACAAAAUAGCUAUCACAUAAAAUAUUUUCAACACGAUCCACAUGCAUGCAAAGUUGGCACUCUUCCAAAAUAGUGGGAUUGACAUUAACUAAAGUCAUGACCUCUCCAAACCCACUUUUAUCAAAAAAUUCAUCAGAUUGAACAUUAUCCAAAUAUGUGGGAUCUAAAGUUGACAUUCUUCCAAACCCAAUUUCAAUAUUAUUGCAAACAUUAUUAUCAAUCUCAUAUUCAUCACGGGGCUUAAAUAAAUUUUCAAGAUCAUAAGAAGAAUCCCCCCAAUCAUGAUCGUUGCAACAAGUAGUAGACAUAGCAAAACUAGCAUCCCCAAGCUUAGGGUUUUGCAUAUUAUUAGCACAACUGACAUCAAUAGAAUUUAUAAUAAAAUCAUUGCAAUCAUGCUUUUUAUUCAAAUAUCUAUCGUGAAUCGCUUCAUAAAGUACUUCAUCACAAUUUUCAGAUUCAUGAAUUUCAAGCAAAACCUCGUAAAGAUAAUCUAGUGCACUCAACUCACUAGCAAUAGGUUCAUCAUAAUUGGAUCUCUUAAAGAGAUUAGCAAGUGGAUGAAGAUCCAUAAACUUUUAGCAAGCGAAGAUGCAAGCAAAAAGAAGGUACAUGGUAACACAAGCAAACAAAAGAUCGAACGGAAGAAGGCCGAAUAAAACGGCAAAGGUGAAGUGGGGGAGAGGAAAACGAGUGGCAAAAGGCAAAUAAUGUAAUGCGAGGGAUAAGAGUUUGUGAUGGGUACUUGGUAUGUCUUGACUUGACUUGACUUGGCGCGAAUCUCCCCGGCAACGGCGCCAGAAAUCCUUCUUGCUACCUCUUGAGCACUGCGUUGGUUUUUCCCUUGAAGAGGAAAGGGUGAUGUAGUAAAGUAGCGUAAGUAUUUCCCUCAGUUUUUGAGAACCAAGGUAUCAAUCCAGUAGGAGACCACGCUCAAGUCCCUCACACCUACACAAACAAAUAAGAACCUCGCAACCAACGCGAUAAAGGGGUUGUCAAUCCCUUCACGGUCACUUACGAUAGUGAGAUCUGAUAGAUAUGAUAAGAUAAUAUUUUUGGUAUUUUUAUGAUAAAGAUGCAAAGUAAAAUAAAAGGCAAUAAAAAUAGCUAAGUGUUGGAAGAUUACUAUGAUGGAAAAUAGACCCCGGGGCCAUAGGUUUCACUAGUGGCUUCUCUCAAGAGCAUAAGUAUUACGGUGGGUGAACAAAUUACUGUCGAGCAAUUGAUAGAAUUGAGCAUAGUUAUGAGAAUAUCUAGGUAUGAUCAUGUAUAUAGGCAUCACGUCCGUGACAAGUAGACCGACUCCUGCCUGCAUCUACUACUAUUACUCCACACAUCGACCGCUAUCCAGCAUGUAUCUAGAGUAUUAAGUUCAUAAGAACAGAGUAACGCUUUAAGCAAGAUGACAUGAUGUAGAGGGAUAAACUCAUGCAAUAUGAUAUAAACCCCAUCUUGUUAUCCUCGAUGGCAACAAUACAAUACGUGUCAUUUCCCUUUCUGUCACUGGGAUCGAGCACCGCAAGAUUGAACCCAAAGCUAAGCACUUCUCCCAUUGCAAGAAAGAUCAAUCUAGUAGGCCAAACCAAACUGAUAAUUCAAAGAGACUUGCAAAGAUAACCAAUCAUACAUAAAAGAAUUCAGAGAAGAUUCAAAUAUUGUUCAUAGAUAAACUUGAUCAUAAACCCACAAUUCAUCGGUCCCGACAAACACACCGCAAAAGAAGAUUACAUCGAAUAGAUCUCCACGAGAAUCAUGGAGAACUUUGUAUUGAGAUCUAAAGAGAGAGAAGAAGCCAUCUAGCUAAUAACUAUGGACCCGAAGGUCUGAGGUAAACUACUCACACAUCAUCGGAGAGGCUAUGGUGUUGAUGUAGAAGUCCUCCGUGAUCAAUGCCCCCUCCGGCAGGACGCCGGAAAAGGCCCCAAGAUGGGAUAUCAUGGGUACAGAAGGUUGCGGCGGUGGAAUUAGGUUUUCGUGGAUGCCUUUGUUGGUUUGGGGGUACGUAGGUAUAUAUAGGAGGAAGAAGUACGUCAGUGGAGCAACGUGGGCCCCACGAGGGUGGAGGGCGCGCCUGGGGGGGUAGGCGCGCCCCCUGCCUCGUGCUCUCCUUGUUGAUUUCUUGGCGUAGACUCCAAGUCCUCCGGAUCACGUUUGUUCCGAAAAUCACGUUCCCGAAGGUUUCAUUCCGUUUGGACUCCGUUUGAUAUUCUUUUUCUGCGAAACACUGAAAUAGGCAAAAAAAACAGCAAUUUGGGCUGGGCCUCCGGUUAAUAGGUUAGUCCCAAUAAUAUAAAAGUGUAUAAAUAAGCCCAUUAAACAUCCAAAACAGAAUAUAAUAUAGCAUGGAACAAUAAAAAAUUAUAGAUACGUUGGAGACGUAUCACAUACCAACCAAGAUCACGAUUAACCCACAGAACAAAACGGAUCUACUCAAACAUCAUAGGAUAAGCAUAGAUUAUGGGGAAAUAAUAUAUGGAGUUGAGCACCAUGUUUAAGUAGAGAUUACAGCGGGGAGAAGGGGUGUUACACCACUGCAUAGAGGGGGAGAGAGUUGGUGCUGACGGUAGCAAGAUUGCUAAUGUAGAUCGCCGUCACGGUCCUAGCCCCGGCGGCACUCCGGCGCCACCGGGAGAGAGCCCCCUCCUUCUUCUUCUUCCUUGGCCUCCCCCUAGACGGGAGGGGAGUUCCCCCUCUGGUCCAUGGCCUCCAUGGUAGUGGAGGGGCGGGAGCCCCUCCGAGAUUGGAUCUCCCUCCCAGUUCUCUUCUGUUUCGCGUUCCCAAAAUCGGGCCGAGAACCGUUUCUUAUAUUCCCGGAGAUCCGUAACUCCAAUUGCGCUGAGAUUUUAACACGAGUUUUUUUUCCGGAUAUAAGCUUCCUUGCGCGCGAAGUAGAGCCCCAACCGACGUACGAGGUGAGCACAACCCACCACCAUGCGUCUGGCCCCUGGGGCGCACCUGGUGUCUUGUGGGCACUAUGGGCCCCCGUUUGCGUUGAUUCCAAGUAAUAUAUUCCAAAAUAAUUCUUCGUAAAAUUUUAUCGCGUUUGGACUUUGUUUGAUAUGGAUUUUCUACGAAACAAAAAAACAUGCAACAAACAGGAACUGGCACUAGGCACUAGAUCAAUAUGUUAGUCCAAAUAAAACAUAUAAAAUGUUGCCAAAAUAUGUGAAAGUUAUAUAAUAUUGGCAUGAAAUAAUCAAAAAUUAUAGAUACGACGGAGGCGUAUCAGGGUGUGGGUAUCCUUUUGCGAAAUUGCCAUAGUUUCCUUCCUAUCCGUCAGAUAUAAAUCGGACGACCUAUAUUGCAGGAUGGCAGACACACCAUCAUCACCAACUCUAUUUUUUAUAAGAGUAGAGAUAGAGACAGAGAUAGAGAUAGAGAGUAGAUAUAUUAUUAUAUAUCUUGCGUAUAAGUAAGCAAGCAGUUGGCCAUUCUGUAGCUUAAUUAAAGUCUUAGGGAGCAUAAUGAACAGCAGAGGGAUUCAUACAAACCUACUACAGCAAGCAAAACUAUGCAAUCAUUAGCCUCGUAUAAACUAGAUUGUGGGCCUCAUGCAGUAAUAGUUGGUUAAUAGACUUCGAAGCUUCAGGCACACUUCACCAGAGUAAUUAAAUGGUAAGGACUUUAAUUAUGUCAACUAAUAGUUAUACAAGUACCUGAUGCGGCUUGAACUACGUCGGUAUUUCCUUAAAGAGGAAGGGAUGAUGCAGCACAACUACGAUAGGUAUUUCCCUCAGUGAUGAGACCAAGGUUAUCGAACCAAUAGGAGAACCACGUAACACCACGUAAACACCUCCUGCACACAAAGAACAAAUAUUUGCAACCCGACGUAAGAGAGGGGUUGCCAAUCCCUCACAGGUAAAAAGAUAGGUAAAAUUAUAGUAGACUGGAUAAAUAGAUCUCGCGGGAACACGAGAUAAAAUAAAUAACAAUAAAUUGCAGCAAGGUAUUUUUGUAUUUUUGGAUUAACAGAUCUGAAAAUAAAAUCAAAUAAAAAUAGAUCGCGAAGGCAAAUAUAAUUAAGAAGAGACCCGGGGGCCGUAGAUUUUACUAGUGGCUUCUCUCGAGAAAAAUAGCAUAAGGUGGGUAAACAGAUUACUAUGGGGCGAUUGAUAGAACUUCAAAUAAUCAUGACGAUAUCUAGGCAAUGAUCAUUAUACAGGCACCACGUCCAAGAUUAGUAGACUGACUCCUGCCCGCAUCUACUACUAUUACUCCACACAUCGACCACUAUCGAGCAUGCAUCUAGUGUAUUAAGUUCAUGGAGAAACAGAGUAAUGCAAUAAGAAUGAUGACAUGAUGUAGACAAGAUAUAUUUAUGUAGAAAUAGACCCCAUCUUGUUAUCCUUAAUAGCAACGAUACAUACGUGUCGGUUCCCCUUCUGUCACUGGGAUCAAGCACCGUAAGAUCGAACCCAUCACAAAGCACCUCUUCCCAUGGCAAGAAAAAUUGAUCUAGUUGGCCUAACUAAACCGAAGAUUCGAAGAAGAAAUACGAGGCUAUAAGUAAUCAUGCAUAUAAGAGAUCAAAAAACUCAAAUAACUUUCAUGGAUAAAAACGUAGAUCAGAUCUGAUCAUAAACUCAAAGUUCUUCGGAUCCCAACAAACACAUUGCAAAAAGAGUUACAUCAAAUAGAUCUCCAAGAGACCAUUGUAUUGAGAAUCAAAAGAGAGACAGGAAGCCAUCUAGCUACUAACUACGGACCCGUAGGUCUACAAUGAACUACUCACGCAUCAUCAGAGAGGCACCAAUGAGGAUGAUGAACCCCUCCGUGAUUGUGUCUAGAUUGGAUCUGGUGGUUCUGGAACUUGCGGCGGCUGGAAUUGAUUUUCGUCGACUCCCCUAAGGUUUCUGGAAUAUUGGGGUAUUUAUAGAGCAAAGAGGCGGCGCGGGAGGCCACCGAGGUGGGCACAACCCACCUAGGCGUGCGUGGGUCCCCAGGCGCGCCCUGGUGGGUUGUGCUCCCCUCAUCGCACCCCUCAGGUACUUUCUUGGCCCAUCUGGUGUCUUCUGGUCUAGAAAGAACCCACAAAAAGUUUCGCUGCAUUUGGACUCCGUUUGAUAUUGAUUUCCUGCGAUGUAAAAAACAGCAACUAGCACCGGGCACUAUAUAUGUCAAUAGCUUAGUCCCAAAAAAUGAUACAAAGUUGCUAUAAAAUGAUUGUAAAACAUCCAAGAAUGAUAAUAUAACAGCAUGGAACAAUCAAAAAUUAUAGAUAUAUUAGAGACGUAUCAGUAACCAACAUCAGGCAUCAUUGUUUGGGCAUCUCAUUAACUGAGGACAAAUAAAGCAAUUGAAAAGAGCAAUUUAACUAUGCCUGAAACAAACAAGCAAUUGAACUGUUGAGUUGGCAGCAUGCAUACAUGCACGCCUCAAUAACAUCCAUGGCCUAGCUACAUUUACUAUAUAAAGGAACAAGCAAUGUAAUAUUGUUUGCCCCCUAUGAAGUAUCUCGACUAGUAUGUAAUCAAGAUCCUAGUAAUGAUAGGGAGGCUAAUGAUGUGAAUAUGCAUCUGGUUAUGACAUAUAUGACAUCGACAACUCUACCAUAGCAGGAAGCAGCUUCACACUGUUCACUACUAUAAGAUGUUUUAGAUAUUCGACUACAUCCGUAAUAGUGAACAGACACAUUAAAAUGUGUUUACAUACAUCUGAUUUACAAAAAAGUUAGAAUAUCAUAUAAUAGUGAGCGAAGGGGUUUUAAUCAAUGGCCAAAUGACUGGGUUACAAGUGAAGAACCCUACGCAAGCACAAUGUCAGACAAAUAGGAUGUCCUGGUAAUUGUAAUACAGUGACUUACCAUAACUGGUUGAACAGGCUCAGCGUUGCUCCUCCUUCUCUUGCCAAGCUCCUUCCUAACAUCUUGUACUUGGAAAUCCUCAAUCUUAUCUUCAUUGCACCCCCUCUGCAAGGUGACACAAACUAGUUACUGGUCUCCUUGGAAGAUAAAUAUGCAUACUUUCCAGUCCGUGAACAACACAAAAGGAUGAGUUUAUAACAAAACAACACCACAUAACAUGCCACGUCUCUUGCACACAAUGAAAUGAGCAUUUACUAUGUGUUCACUAUGUAAAAACUAGGCAUACCUUCGAACUGGAUCUCCAGGUACUCUUGGAGAGCCUACUUUAGUGUACAGCAAAACCUUUAUGUCACCUAUGAGUUAUACAAGCCCCCACUGCAGCAGCCCUUAGUGUUUAAAUCGUUGACAAGCUCUGUUAGGUCAAGAACAACAAGUAAUCAAAGCAAACAGUCCUGGUAUGGCUGGCUGAUACAAACAAGCAAUUGCACAGAUGUGUGAGCAAAUCUUGCACGACAUUGAAUUAUAUAGCAAGAAAAGAAGCAUAGAAGGAGGCUUAAAGACCAUCACUUGACUGACCAGAUUUAAGGGGCAUUUAAACAUCAUGUGCAACAUAUGAACUAACAUAAACAUUGCAUAUUUCAGAUUCUACAAUGAAAUGCACAUGUAUUAGGUUAUGCCAUGUAUGAUGCCUAAAUGUACACUAUAGCAGGCAGGAGUGAUUCAUCAUUGCACCCACAAUUGAAUUACAGGUUAAGGGCUAGUUCUAUUCCGACUUUUCAGAGCUUAUUGUCAAAAUAAGCCAUGAAAGAUGUAAAGAAGUCAUUUUUGAGUUAUGGGCUUGGGCUUAACUUAUUUCGCUCGGGGGGGGGGGGGUGCUUCGGGUCGAAGCUCACUAAAAAUUGAAGGGAAGGGGAAUAGUGAAACGACUCUGUUGUCUGCCUAUAUUACAAUCAAAAUGCCACUGCUCACGCCCGCGUCACACUGACCCUCAAGUAAAAACAAACACGCAAGCGUUCAUUGCCCUGCCCGCUUGCAUCUCAUCUCCCCUUUCCCUCUACCUCGAUCCCCUACCUGCAGCGCUAGGGUUCCUCCAGCGCGCCGUCACCACUGGUCCCAUCUAGCCUGCUCCUUGAUGAUGCUCUGUACAGCUAGGCUACAUGGCCAGCGGGUAGGGCCGAAUCUCCCCGGCUCCUCCUCCCUCUGGCGCCGCCCCUCACUCUCAUGGUCUCCAGCAGCUGCUCCGCUAUGCUCCGUCCAACGCACUACUCCGACGGUCGCCGCACAACUACGUCGAUGCCCCACUCCAAUAGAAGGCACCUCGUUCCCCCUCCCCUCCUCCCAGGCCGUGGCCUCGAGGUGCUGUUGAAAGAUGAGCUCAUCUAAUAAGGUGAGGAUCUCCUCUGAUUUUUUGCCAAAUUUUCAUUCUGAUCCGCUAUACAAUGAAUUGCUAUGAGCUGCUGCUGCUAUAUGAUGCAUUGCUAUGAGCUGCUCCUGCUGCUGCUAUAUGAUGAAUUGCUAUGAGCUGUUGCUGCUAUAUGAUGAAUUGCUAUGAGCUGCUGCUGCUAUAUGAUGAGUUGCUAUAAGCUGCUCCUGCUGCUUCUAUAUGAUGAAUUACUAUGAGCUACUCCUGCCGCUACUAUAUGAUGAAUUACUAUGAGUUGCUACUACUGCUGCUAUAUGAUGAAUUGCUAUGAGCUGCUGCUGGUAUAUGAUGAAUUGCUAGGUGCUGCUCCUGCUGUUGUAUGAUGAGUUGCUAUGAGCUGAUGCUGAUAUAUGAUGCUUUCAGGUGGUGCUACUAUAUGAUAAUAACCAACCACUUAGACCAACGAAUUUCGAUAAAUAAUGGUUCUUCAUUUAAAUUUAGGUCAUGCGUUCUUCAUUUAAAUUAGGCAAUGGGAUCUCUACGAAAAACAAUGCCCAAAGUAGAUUGUGCCAAGUAGAUGGUAUCUUUGUAUUUGCAUUUUGAACAAAUAUUGAUGGUCUGUUUUCCUAUCAUAUUAAUUACUGCACUGGGUUCAAUUUGUGAUGUUUGCAAGACAAUUAAUUUUCAUAUGGGUAGCAAAAUGACAAAAUAUAGUGCAAUCUAGACUUUUCGCUGAUCAUACCACAAAUAAGCUGAAAAGGCAGACAAUGAAAAGAACUGGCUGGCUUAUUAUCUGGAGCUUAUAUUGAAAGUUGCUUAUUUUCUUAGGAUAACUCGAAAUAACUGUCCCUAAGAAACUCGGCCAACAGCACUGACAUACAAAUAACAUGUCACGAUGAUUGCAAUGGAGAGUGACCUACCAUAGCACAAUGUAUAGGCUCACCGUUGCCUCUCCUUUUUUUGGGAUGUUCCAUGAAAUUGCCACAUACAUCUUGUACUAAGAAAUCUUGUACUUUUUCAUUGCGUAACCCUAUCUGUAAGUUGACACGGCUAAUUUCAGAUAUCUCUACAUGAUAAUACAUUGCAUAUCCCUUGCGCAUAUUUAAACCACAAUUAACGAUUGUGUGUGUAGCAUAAACUAGCCAUGACUGUGUGUUCUGGACUAGCAGGCACUCUAAGGGAGCCUAAUGUAGUGCACUGGAAUUCCUACAUGCCACCUAUGAUUUUGUGUAAUGUAGUAUCAUGUAUGACAUCUACAUCUCUAAUUUAGCAGCCAGUAGUGAAAAUCAUUGUCUGCACAAAGGGAUUACUGGUCGAAAAUCGUAGCAAAGCACGCUGGCAGCACACGACAAUACAAGAGAGAGAGACGCACUUACAAGAUCAUAGCAAUGCCUCAGUCCAGGAUCUUGGUUGGCCAAGCUGUUAGAUCCAGAAGAAAUGUCGUCCUUGUAGUUUCUGCCAGCUGCAUAACAUGUAACAGUGACCUGUUAGUAUAUUUGAAGUACAUCGGGCAGGUGAUGCUGGAUGGGUUUAAAGGUGACAAGUACCUAGGCCGCGGCGAGUGCUUGGCAUCUUACCAGCCGGUGGGAAUCAGGUUAGAAACGUCAAGGGUGAUGACGCUGCGCUGGCUGUCGCGGUCCGGUAAGGAUAUCUAGAACCGUGGAGUAGGGUGUUUGUGGAGCGGCUCCGGUAGGAUGGACUAUGGUGUGGGCGAAGCGGAUCUGAGCCCGUGGACGAGGGCGUCGGUGAAGCUGCUUCGGUGGCUGGGUUCAAGAUAGUGUCGACGAUGCGGAUCUGCGGCCGUGGACGGGGCGUCAAAAGCUGCUCCGGUAGGUUGGACGAGGGUGCGACAAAGCGGAUCUCAGGCCGUGGACUUGGGCAUUGGCAAAGCAGCCCCGGUAGGGUUGAGAAUGGUAUAGGCGAAGCUACUCCGAUAGGGUUGAGGAUGGUGUCGGCGAAGCGGCUUCGGUAGGGUUGAGAAAGGUGUCGACGAAGAGGAUUAGAGGCCGUCGAUGGGGGCGUCGGUGGGGCGGCCCGGGGGUGUGGACGAAGCGUCUCUAGUGGGGAGUACGAAGGAGCCACUACAGAUGCUCUGCAGUUGACGAGAGUACCAGCGAAGCAGAUCCGGCGUCGUGGACAAGGCCAGCACUGAAUGGGCUGUGGCACAGUGCUGGAUGAGCAAUCUACUUGUUUCUAGGGGAGGUGGGAGGGGUAGAUGCAGCCGCAGAAGCAGAUCCGGCGAGGUGGAUGCCGGUGUUAGUGAAUGGGCUCUGGUAUGCCGGUGGACGAGCAGUGUAGGGUUUCGAGAGGGGAGGGGUAGUAAGGCCGAUGAAGUACGGACGGCGUGAUGUAAGAUGCUCUGGUUCUGUGGAGUAGUCAUUUUUGCGGGAGGGGGUGAGGAAAUGGGGGUGCCGUGUGGUGGGGGGAACCGAAAGCUACCAAAGCAGCCCAGACCUAUUAUGUAAAUGAGGGCCUUAUUGUAACUAUUGUUCUCCGUGCACCAAGGACAGAAGGGGGACUUCGCAUGCUAAAGACUAGGUGGCGGAAAUUUUAAAAGGAGGCGAGAGAUUUUGCCGCCCGCGGGAUCGUUCAUAUCCAGUUUCAACAAAUUUUGGACAGUGCUAGCGGGAAGGUCAUUCGAGACUGUGUACACGGGGCACACGUCGGCACUUAAGAACUGGUAUGAAGUCCAUCGCAGAAAAAAGACAAUAACUCGGGAUGAUGCACCAAUGACUUGGACGUUCACAUGGGCGCAACCAAUCGUACGGGUGUAGAGGCGCGUUCACAAAAAAGGGAUCAAACGCUCAACCUAUGUUUUUCUCGUGUAAAUAUAUAAUUUAGUGCCAUUGGUUAUUUAUUUUAAAGAUAACGCAUAGACGUGUUAAUUUUAGUAUAUAGGCACAGAAAGAAAUGGAUAUUGUAGUCCCACAAAAAAUGGAUAAUGUAGUCCGCUACUUAAAAGUGUUACCUCAUAUGAUUGCAUGGCCUCCAUUUCAUAAAAUGUGUACCCGUUGAAUUCAUAUAUGAAUAUACAUAUAUUACUUCAUAAUAGAACCUUAAAUCAUCCAAGACUAAUGGAUUUGAAUGCAAAACUAAAAAUGGUGCAUCUACAUGAUAACUACAAUGGUUGUUUGAAGAAACAUCACUCAAACUUUGGCAUGCACAAUUGAAAAGGACUAUUUGGAAAAAAUGUGAUAUGUGAGUGUCCAAUCUUUAUAGCGUUGAAUCGAUAUUGUAUCUUUGGCCACGAUACGAAGUAGAUAUUGAUUUAUGUUCAAGCAAUGCACGUCCACGGUCGCUAGAUAGUGAUACGUGAAUGAAUUGUGCAAUCUCUCUCACACACGUACAUAUCUCAUUUCUCCUUGGGCAUCGGAAUCACACACGCGCACUUCGUGUGUUUCUCUCCCUCCGUCAAGGUUAGAAUCCGUCUUUCUACCCCGUCCUACAAGUCUCUCACAUAAAAACACACACGCUCUCUCUGUCGAACACACCCACCCCUUUAAUUCCUCCCACCCACCGCCACUAAUGUCUCAAAGUAUAACUAUGUCUCGCACACAUAUGUGUAAGGUUAACUCGAGUCCCGGAACCAUAUGAAUACAUACAAUGGGAUUCCAGCACAACACCUUUUGUUUUGAGAUUUCACUCACACACAAACACACACACGUGCGCGCGCCAUUUGUUUAUCUCCGUGAUGCUUUAUGUAUGCCUCGUACACAUGCUAUCUACCUAUCCCUUAAUAUAUAUAUAUAUAUAUAUAUAUAUAUAUAUAUAUAUCACACAAAUUCCUUCUCCCUAUAUCUAAGUGUCACUGCCCCCCCACCUACACACACCCACUUCUCGACACCGAAGGAGUAGGGUGACACCUCGAUCUUGAUACCAAUCUAUAUACUAGCUUCUCUCUCAAACACACACAUACACACUCGCUAGUUGUGCCUUUGUGCCUACCGCGCGCACACUCUCGAUAUGUCUUUCUCUCCCUCCCCCUUCCCACCCCCAACAAUGACAAUAGAAGGGUGACAACUCGAUCUUGAUUUUAAUCUAUCAAUUGGCUUCUCUCUCAAACACACACACGCGCGCGCGCGCUAGUUGUGUCUUUGUGCCUCGCUCACACACACUCGAUACGUCUUUCUCUCCAUAACCCCCUGAUAUGUAGAAUUCUCGCGCGCGCACAACUCUAGUGACGCUGACGCUGAACCCAGUGUGCCUUGUUUUUACUGGCCUCAUGUGAUAGUUUUCACCCUGUUUUCUGUUAAUUAACAAGGCAACCUUUUCUUUGUUACUACUAGUGAAUUUGAGAUCAUUCGGGCAGACAUAAAAUAUAUCACUUCAACCAAAUUAUCGCAGUAACUAUUUAAAAAGAAACUAGCAAGAUGCCCGUGCGUUGCAUGGAACAUCAAGAUGCAUUAUUAUGAGUAGUUUAUCUUGUGAGAGAAGAGGAUGAACGAGGGAAGGCCUUAUUUGCAAAUGUGGAGAGGGGUGUGGGUAUCUUUUUGCAAAAUUGCCAUAGUUUCCUUCCUAUCUGUCGGAGAUAAAUUGAAGGGCCUAUAUUGCAGGAUGGCAGGCAGACCAUCAUCACCAACUCUAUUUUUUUAUGAGAGUAUACUAGCAACACGAAACAUCUAGAUGCAUUUGUAUGAGUAGUUUAUCUUUUGAGAGAAAAGGGUGAACGAGGGAAGGCCUUAUUUGCAAAUGUGGAGAGGGUGUGGGUAUCUUUUUGCAAAAUUGCCAUAGUUUCCUUCCUAUCCGUCAGAUAUAAAUCGGACAACCUAUGUUGUAGGAUGACAGGCACACCAUCAUCACCAACUCUGUUUUUUAUAAGAGUAGUAUCAUCCCAUAGAGUACUUAGAAUACAAGAUUAAGGAUGGAUUUGUUUCUUUUUAGCUUUCUGUACAAAUUUGUAGCCACCCUGCAAGUCAUGUACACUGUACAUGCAAUUAAAUUUUUAUAGAGGGAGAAUUAUACACGCAAUUAACUCAAAUGGAUUGGAUGUGACUAUUAUUCUCUAACGGCAACCGACAAAUUACCUCCCGCUUCCUUCCGCGAAGGACAACAUCCAACGCCAGCGGCAUACAUUUUCACAACUCUAACCAACCAGAGGAAAUUCGUGCAAACACAGACUGGUUUCAUAUAAGCAUGAAGGAGUUCGUAUAAAAAGCCGGAUCUUCAUAUAAACAUGACGGAUUUCAUUACAUUUACAUGAACUAAGCGGUGCUAAUCCGGCUCUCGUGGUAUAAUUAAUACCUAAUCUAAAUGGCCGCCCACGGAUCCCUUUGUCUUCCUCAUGUUCGGCAAACACUUUCAGGGUCGUCGAAGGUCCUCGCAAGAGACGAAGCAGCCAAGAAACCACUUGUAUAUGCAGUCGUCGCCUCGGUGUUGGUCUUCAUGGGACCCAAGCAGUGGCGGCCUCCCGUGUUCUACUUCUCCUCGAUGAUGGCGGUGGACACGGAGAAGUUGGCCACCAACUCGUCGCUCUCCGCGCACCCGACUUCUGUCUCUGCCUGCAUGGCGCUGCCACAGGCACGGGAGGAGCGCCCACAGACAUGGGAGGCGCGGCCACCGCAGACACUGGUGGCGCGGUACGAUGCGGCAGCGACGACGCCCGUGCCGCCGUGCUCGUCGUCGUGCCGGCGUGGAGCAACUCGCCACUCCUCAUCGAGCUGAACUGGAGCAGCGAGUUGCUGAACCGCGCACCGGCUUGGGGCAGUAACUGGCUCCGUCGGGCCAAGCGAGGUAGGUGAAGCACCGAGCGGCCUCGCUCAUAUCCGGAGGGCUCGGCGGGCCACCCAGCCGGGUAGUAUGCCAAAGAGCGGCUCCUCGGAAGCCAUCAGAAGAGUGGAGAAAAUGGUGAAGGAGGAGAUGGGGGAGCGGCGGAGAGGUGUGAUUCUUGCCCGCUGUCUGACCUCAUUUAAAUAGAGGGCGGACAGUAGGAGCUUGGCCGGCAUCAGGCCUUGUUUAAACUGAGGGCAGACGGGAGGAGCUCGCCCGGCGUUGCAUUUAAUUCCGGCCCGCUCAUGAACGGACGUGUGGUCGGAGUAGGUUUCUUGGUUUGCAUGCGGGUUUAACGGAGGCGUUUGAUGGAGGCGAGGAGGCGUGUUCAGCCGGGCAUGCAACACAGUACUAUUCGAUUUGACAGCUACUAGUAAACCAGUACAGUUCUCAAUACGACUUUAAUGCAGACAAGGGAGAGGGUAGCGGUUCCUGAAAUGUUGAACGACCAAUGAUGCAUCCUCCUUCAAUUAGCAUCCUGAAUGCAUGAGGGAAGUAACGGGAGGAGGAUGGGGAAAAGAGGCAGCAAAAUGUGAAUGCUACGCAGUUUGCACUCAUAUAAAGGUGCCACUCAAUUCCAAUGCAUCUACCACAUCGUAUGCACCUAAGCACCUACACUAAGUGCAAAAGUGCUCACUCCAGACCCAUGGCGGCGAUGUGCACAAGUGGCCAGCGGUUGUGCCAGAUGGUCCACGACGCUGGCCUGCGGCAUGGCAUCGAGGAUCGUCUCCAAACGGUGUUGGCGACCGGCUGGUUCAUGGCCAUGAUCGACGCCAGCUACGACUCUCAGUUGGACCAGAUGAUCGUUGCCACCAUCAACAAGUUCACCGUCGUCAAGAAGCUCAUGGACGACAUCGCCGUACUCCUCCAGCCCGCGCGCCCGGGCUCCUCAUUGCCUGCCACCCUAAUCGGCAUCCAUGGCGAGAACCUCAUUCAAGCACUGGUGGCCCUGCGACUGCCCGCCGACGCAAUGAAGAAUGUCCACCUGGAGGUCGCGCUCGCCGCGAGGCGCCUCGCCCUGCAAUAAUUCGUUAACCUACACAUCCACGUGUAUGAGGAAGUCGUGUACAUGGGUAUCUACAAGGCCGGUGAGGAAGCUACGACGUUGGCCUUUGUCCAUCGUCUGGAAGUCUUGGACGCCUUUGUUGAGAAGCACCUUGACCUCGCCACAAAAGCCGCUACUACUAAGUCGCCGGUAGGUGGCCCGGCGCACUGAGUUGAGGAGGAGGAGGAGUUCAUACGUUGAUGGAUGCAUCUUUCUUCUUGCCUCCUGUAACCACCACUGUGAUUGCAUCAUCGUGCCCUUAUUUCUUAUUGUGCUAUUGCAUUCUCGUUCCAGUCAAUACAGACAUGUGUGAUCCCUUUGCUCAUAUUUGGAGGCAAUUAUAUGCAUCACUAUAACUAGUACUCCAUCCGUCAAUUUACAAGUCAUGCUUACCUUUUCCAUCAACUUCGUAAUUUAUGUUUGAUGGUUGAUCCGACCUAUGAACUACUCCUAAAUUCAAAAACUGAGACCGAACGUAUAAAUUCAAAAGUACUCGUGUAGCAUGCCUGUCACGUUCGCAAGUUCAAAACGAGAAACUGGAACACGUACAUGAAGCAUGUCCCUUCCCUGUUGCAUAUCACAUUGUCGCUCCGCCCCCCGGUGAACGUGCAUUGGCUAGGCUUUAUAUCACUACAACAUGUGGGACCGCAUGUGACCAAACCGACGAUGCACCAACCUAAGCUACUACCCUGCUUAUCUGGCGGGAAAAGCCCCACCCUAGCGUUUCCAAUCAUUAUUUCUAUCUAUCGAUUGUGCCAAGGAGCAGAACCAAAUGUUACAAUUUAUACAUGUUUCUCCACUCCCAUAAAAGACUCAGUUGGUGAUGGUGGUGUGUAUGCCAUCCGUCAUUUCUGACCAUUAGAUCUGCAUCUAAUGGCUGUGAGGUAAGUUGUAGCAUUUUUGCAACAAUAGCCCACUUCUCUGCUCCAAUGUGCAGAAAACCCCUUAUUAUCUUGAAAGCAACCACAUCCCUCCCUCACCUCAUCAAAAUAGCCUGAGAAAUAUAUUCUGAGUGAAAAGUAAUAUAUUUUUAGUGGUAUAUAUGUAUAUCAAAACAAGAGUGUUUUCUUUCAAGUUUGUGAACAAGUAAUAUUCUACUUUGGAUCCGUCGCAAUGCACGGGCACAUUGCUAGUAAAAGGAAAAGUCCUGCUACAUUCGCAUCGCACCCCCACACGCCCCGGAAUCGGGAGUACUCCACGGCCCGUCCGGCACGCCACAUACCUAGGGAAGGCGUGUUGCCUAGCAUUUUCACUUUGAUGUGGGACGGCAGUUGAGCAAACCGGCUAUCGGCAAACCGCACCCCGCCCGUUGCGUUGGAAAACAGAAACGAGGAGGGGAAGAAAUUUGGUGUCAGAUGGGAGUUGUUGAUAGAGUAGGAGCACUCCGUACUACACCUACUACAAAGUUUGUACUACUACUACUACUACCACUAUACAACUAGGUGCAUGCACGACACAACAUCGUAGGAACAAAAAAUGGGAAGAUCUUGUUUUGGGUGAUUUAUCUUUAUUUCAGUCAACGUAGUAUGUAUAAUAUGAUGUGGGGGGAACCCAUGAAGCCAUGUGGCACGUCUGGAGGUCUUAUUUAGAGCUUCUUGUGUGGAUCGAUCACACUGUCGUGCUAGUCAUUCGAGAAGAACGUGUAUGGGUACUUAUAGUAGAUCCAAAUCGCAACCACCUGGACCAUUGGAGCAACAUCAAUCAACGGUUUAUAUCAUGUACGUGCAAAUACACGCAUUGACUCCAGAAAAAUAAUGAAUAUAGAAUGUAUAAUACAUAUACCGCAUAUUGGGUUUCUCUAAAGUCAAACUUUGUAUACUUUCAGCAAUUUGUAGGAAAAUGUAUUAACAUAUACACCACCAAAUAUAUAUCAUUUGAUUCAUCAUUGCUUUUAUCUCCACAUCGUGUAAAUUUGUCAGUGUAAAUGUUCAUAUUGUUUUCACCAAAUUCAGUCAAGCUUUAUAAAAUUUGGCUGCAGUCAAAGCUAUACAUGUGCGGAGUAAAUUACAAACGGAGGGAGUGGAAUAGAUAUAGAUAUAACUAUACAAAUAAAAAAUAUAGUAAUAUAGUCUAUAGAUAUAAAUAAGGCUACUACCCUUUUUCUACGUUAGAACUCGCGUUGUUGUGUACACAUUGUUUUGUUUUCGCUAUAAUUUUCAUUUGCGGGGUGUGUGUAGGACUACUUCCUGUUGUUCAGUACCAACAACCCCACCAUUAUCCUUAAUUACUUCAUAUUGGCAAUUACGAUUGCAUUAUCUUAGUUCUAGCUGAUUCUUCAGUUGCUUGGAGGAACUCCAUCUCGUUAUUCAGGUUGAUUUUGUGCAUACGACAAGAUCAUCGUCCAUCGAAGGUUUGUUUAGUAACGAUUGUCGAUUUGUAUCACCGGGUACGAGAUAGCUGGAUCGUCAACGUCAAAAUCCACCAAGUCGAUACUUAUCCCACUCUCAUUGAAAGACUGGGGCGCCAUCAUAAGACUACCACCUAGACAAUUCCUUCACAUGUGCACCCAUCUCAUUAUUCAGGUCCACGCCUCCCUCUCUCUCUUGAAACACACACACCUCUCCACACGAUGUGUGUCUCUUGGUCUCUCUUCCAUCCCAUGACAAAAAGGCACACUGCCAUUCUCUUCUUCUUGCUGCCCCCGUCUAUUUAGUUAGGUCUCCUUGCAACAAACAAGCAUUCAUUUGUCUCUCUACUAUCUCUUUCUACCACACAUAACCUUCCACCCCUAGACAGCCAUGUUGUCGAGGUCUAUCCAGCUCUCUCACACGCAAACAGACGCUGUCAGUGUUUCCCUUCAUCACACACACUGUCGCUCUCCCAUAUCCGCAACCUCAUAACCUUGUCGAUCCCGACGUUACACGCACCUCUCUCUCUCUAUCUCUCUCUCUCUAUAUAUAUAUAACACCCUCUCUCUCCCUUUCGGACACUCCUCUCUCUACAACACACAAAGUCUUUCGAACACGCAUAUGCCCCUCUCUUGUUAGCUAUCGCUGCCCCCGCCCCCCUCUUUCUCACACAAAUAUUCUCUCUCCAUAUAUCUCUCGCAAUAAUACAUGCGUAGUAUAAAUUGAUGUUGGGAAUCGUUGCAUGGAAAACAAAAAAUUUCUACGCACACGCAAUGAUCUAUCCAUGGAGAUGCAUAGCAACAAGGGGGAGAGUUUGUCUACGUACCCUCGUAGACCGUAAGUAGAAGCGUUUAUCAACGCGGUUGAGUAGUUGUACACCUUCAUGAUCCGUCCCGAUCAAGUCCCGAACGUACGACACCUCUGCGUUCAGCACACGUUCAGCUCGAUGACAUCCUCGCCUUCUUGAUCCAGCAAGAGGGCGAAAUAGUAGAUGAGUUCCGGCAACACGAUGACAUGGUGACGGUUGGUGAUGAAGAGCAAUAUCCGCAGGGCUUCGCCAAGCACUACAUAAACUAGAUGGAGGAUAAACUAGAGGGGACGGGGUUGUCGGCACACGGCUUGGUGAAUCUUGAUGUGUCUUGGGUGCUAGCCCUGCCCCUCUAUUUAUAUGUUGAGCCUUGGGGUCAAACUUGGAGUAAAAGCCUCCUCAAAGUCGGUUUUGCCCGCAAGGAAGAGUCCUUCUCGGACUUCCAGGACCAGACGCCACAGUCCUUGGCGUCUGGCAUUUGGCCCCUGGCCUCCGCAAAACUCCUUUUGCACCAACUUAAAGCCCCGUGGGCCUUACCCCUUGGCCUAACCAUAUCAUCCUAUAUAUCAAUCUUUACCUCCGGACCAUUCCGGAGCUCCUCGUCAUGUCUGUGAUAUCAUCCGGGACUCCAAACAACAUUUGGUCACCAACAUACAUAACUCAUAUAAUAUUAUAUCGUCAACGAACGUUAAGCGUGCGGACCCUACGGGUUCGAGAACUAUGUAGACAUGACCGAGACACCUCUCCGGUCAAUAGCCAAUAGCAGAGCCUGGAUGCCCAUAUUGGCUCCUACAUAUUCUACGAGGAUCUUUAUCAGUCGAACCUUUAUGACAACAUAUGUAAUUCCCUUUGUCUAUCGGUAUGUUACUUGCCAAGAUUCGAUCGUCGGUAUCUUCAUACCUAGUUCAAUCUCGUUACUGGCAAGUCUCUUUACUCGUUCUGUAAUACAUCAUCUUGUGACUAACUCCUUAGUUGUUUGCUUGCAAGCUUAUGAUGUGUAUUACCAAUGGGCCCACAGAUACCUCUCCGAUACUCAGAGUGGCAAAUCCUAAUCUUGAUCUAUGCCAACUCAGGAAACACCUUCGGAGAUACCCGUAGAGCAUCUUUACAAUCACCCAGUUAUGUUAUGACGUUUGAUAGCACACAAGGCAUUCCUCCGGUAUCCGGGAGUUACAUAAUCUCAUAGUCGAAGGAAUAUGUAUUUGACAUGAAGAAAGCAAUAGCAAUAAAACUGAACGGUCAUAAUGCUAAGCUAACGGAUGGGUCUUGUCCGUCACAUCAUUCUCAUAAUGACGUGAUCCCAUUAUCAAAUGACAACUCAUGUUCAUUGUUAGUAAACCUUAACCAUCUUUGAUCAACGAGCUAGUCAAGUAGAGGCUCACUAGGGACACGGUGUUUGUUUAUGUAUUCACACAUGUAUUUAGGUUUCCGAUCAAUACAAUUCUAGCAUGAAUAAUAAACCUUUAUCAUGAAUAAGGAAAUAUAAAAUAACAACUUUAUUAUUGCCUCUAGGGCAUAUUUCCUUCAAUUGAAACCAAGUACAAAAAAUGAGCUCCGAUUACAGAAAUCAAAUCGACUACCAUAUGGAAUAAGAAAAUAGGGUGAAAUCGUGCACACAAUUGUUUGUUGCAUGCAUGAAUGUCAAUGAUAUGGAUGUACUACUCAUACAUCACACAUACCCAUUUCACACAAAUUACAUUAAACCCUUUUCAAAAUAUGGUCCGCAUGUGAUGUUUGUUGUACUGCUCCUGCCAGCCUUCCUCCGACACAUCCCAACAUAUUGUGCCACUUCCGAUUCUAUUUUUCUCCUCAGACCACGUGAAACCACGAAAAGGUCACCCCCUUCCCCCACUGGUAUUGUAGCUCGAAGCUCCCAUACGGACACAACACCCACCGGACCACGCAGCCGUUGCCGAAGUGGAUGGUGCCGCGGCCUGGGAAGAGGAUGGAGUCUCCGACAUCGCCGAGGUGGAGCACGCCCUCUACGGCCGCGAGUAGCGCGCGCUGACUUUCCAUGUGGAGGACAGUGUGAUCUAGCGGCUCGCCCUCGUCGGCCAUGAGGGGUAGCUGUGCUCCAGCAGCACACCCUGGUCAGUCAAGAGGAGGUGCAUCGCGUCCUCGCCGCUCACAAUGUGGAUAAGCGGGUUCUCCAGGAGCAUGCCUGCGAGCAUCGCAUUGUCGAGAGCAUGCCCGCGGACAUUGCAUCACCGCCGCUCUUGAUGUGGAUGAGCGCGUGCUCUGGCAGCACGCCCACGAACAUCGCAUCCUCGCUGCUCACAAUGUCGACGAGCGUGUUCUCCAGCAGCAUGCCCGCGAGCAUCGCAUCAUCGCCGCCUGCGAACAUCGCAUCAUCGGUGCUCUCGACGUGGACGAGCACGUGCUCCGGCAGCACACCCACAAAUAUCGCAUCCUCGCCGCUCAGGCACCCUCAUGGCUCAUGAGGUGGUUGAGCGCGUGCUCCAGACAUUACCCCAGGAGUCAGGACGUGAGCACCGCGCCCCCGGCUACGAAGAGUACUACAUGGUGCCCAUCGUGGUUUAGGAAAAUCCCGUGACUCCACCGCUCCCUGGAGGAGCGCGAGCUCCAGUGGGCGCUCGAGGAGUCCCGUGCCGAUAUGCAGGUGGCGGCGGACGUGCAAGAUUAUCCUUCGAGCUCUCCUCCUCUUACGAAGACGCCUCCACCACCCCCGUCAUACGUCCUCUGCCUCGGCUCCGGCGGACAUUUGGAGUUUAGUUUGAUCAAACAUUAAUAUUUUGACUAAUGCAAAAAACAGCCUAUGACUAACAGACAUAAAUACAUGACGUGGCGGCAUUGCAUGCUGGAGUAUAUUGCAAUUUAUGGAUUGCAUGCAUGACUAGCUUAUGUGGCUUGGUUGCAUGGCUAGGGAAGGCUAGAGAAAAAUAAAUAGAUAAUGUGUUUAGAGUGCACUCCACUAAAUGUGAGCAUGUAAGUAUCUUUAGAGUGCACUCCACUUUUUUUCAGGCGCUUAGGUGCACCGGAUGCCGUGCCAUGCUACAAAAUGUUAGAAUUUUUUUCACCAAUGUUGUAAAAAUCUAUUAUUAUCUUGAAACCAGCCACACCCACCCUAACCUCAUCAAACCAGCCCCGAGGAAUAUGUCUUCAGUGAAGCAUAAUUUAUUUUUACUGAUAUAUGUAUAUCAAAACUAGAGUGUUUUGAUACGUCUCCGUCACAUCUACUUUUCCAAACACUUUUGCCCUUGUUUUGGACUCUAACUAGCAUUAUUUGAAUGGAACUAACCCGGACUGAUGUUGUUUUCAGCAGAAUUGCCAUGGUAUUAUUUUUGUGCAGAAAUAAAAGUUCUCGGAAUGACCUGAAAAUCAACGGAGAUUAUUUUUGGAAAUAAUAAAAAAUACUAGCGAAAGAAUCAAGGCCGAGGGGCCCACACCCUAGCCACGAGGGUGGGGGCGCGCCCCCCUGCCUCGUGGGACCCCUGGAGCUCCACCGACCUCAACUCCAACUCUAUAUAUUCGUGUUCGGGGAGAAAAAAUCAGAGAGAAGGAUUCAUCGCAUUUUACGAUACGGAGCCGCCGCCAAGCCCUAAUCUCUCUCGGGAGGGCUGAUCUGGAGUCCGUUCGGGGCUCCGGAGGAGGGAAUCCGUCGCCAUCGUCAUCAUCAACCAUCCUCCAUCACCAAUUUCAUGAUGCUCACCGCCGUGCGUGAGUAAUUCCAUCGUAGGCUUGCUGGACAGUGAUGGGUUGGAUGAGAUUUAUCAUGUAAUCGAGUUAGUUUUGUUAGGGUUUGAUCCCUAGUAUCCACUAUGUUCCGAGAUUGAUGUUGCUAUGACUUUGCUAUGCUUAAUGCUUGUCACUAGGGUCCGAGUGCCAUGAUUUCAGAUCUGAACCUAUUAUGUUUUCAUGAAUAUAUGUGAGUUCUUGAUCCUAUCUUGCAAGUCAUUAGUCACCUACUAUGUGUUAUGAUCCGGCAACCCCGAAGUGACAAUAAUCGGGACCACUCCCGGUGAUGACCAUAGUUUGAGGAGUUCAUGUAUUCACUAUGUGUUAAUGGUUUGGUCCGGUACUCUAUUAAAAGGAGGCCUCAAUAUCCCUUAGUUUCCAUUAGGACCCCGCUGCCACGGGAGGGUAGGACAAAAGAUGUCAUGCAAGUUCUUUUCCAUAAGCACGUAUGACUACAUUCGGAAUACAUGCCUACAUUACAUUGAUGAACUGGAGCUAGUUCUGUGUCACCCUAUGUUAUAACUGUUGCAUGAAUAAUCGCAUUCGGCAUAAUUCUCCAUCACCGAUCCAAUGCCUACGAGCUUUUCACAUAUUGUUCUUCGCUUAUUUACUUUUCCGUUGCCACUGUUACAAUCACUACAAAACUAUUACCGUUACUUUUGCUACCGUUACCGUUACUUCCAUACUACUUUGCUACUAAAUACUUUGCUGCAGAUAUUAAGUUAUCCAGGUGUGGUUGAAUUGACAACUCAACUGCUAAUACUUGAGAAUAUUCUUUGGCUCCCCUUGUGUCGAAUCAAUAAAUUUGGGUUGAAUACUAUACCCUCAAAAAUUGUUGCGAUCCCCUAUACUUGUGGGUUAUCAAGACUAUUUUCUGGCGCCGUUGCCGGGGAGCAUAGCUCUAUUCUUUGAGUCACUUGGGAUUUAUAUCUGCUGGUCACUAUGAAGAACUUGAAAGACGAGAAAACCAAGAUUUAUCCCUCAACUACGAGGGGAGGUAAGGAACUGCCAUCUAGCUCUGCACUUGAUUCACCUUCUGUUUUGAGUAAGCUUGCGACACCUAAACCUGCUUCUGCUAUUAAUUCUGAUAUGUCGCAUGUUAUUGAUGAUGCCACUUCUGCUAUGCAUGAUACUUAUGAUGAAACUACUUCUAUGCUUGAUACUACUGUGCCACUUGGUGAAUUUCUUGAUGAACAAUUGGCUAGGGCUAGAGAGAAUGAAAUUAUUGAAACUGAUAAUAUUGAUGAAAGUGAUGAUGAAGAUUCUCCCCCUAGACAUGAAUUGCCUGUUGUGCCUGAGGGUUAUGUUAUGGAUUAAUAAUCUGCUAGAGACUUUCUUGCUUGCAAUAAUAGAAGUGAUCUUAAAAAAAUAUUAGCUAAGCUUAAAGAAAAAUCUUUGAAUGCUAGAAUGAAAUAUGAUUCUGCUUAUGCUACUUCACCUAUCUUUGUUACUGAUAAGGAUUAUGAUUUCUCUGUUGAUCCUGAGAUAAUUACUUUGGUUGAAUCUGAUCCUUUCUAUGGCUAUGAAUCUGAAACUGUUGUUGCACAUCUUACUAAAUUAACUGAUAUAGCUACCAUGUUCACUAAUGAUGAGAGAACUCGCUACUAUUAUAUCCUUAAAUUAUUUCCGUUCUCAUUAAAGGGUGAUGCUAAGAUAUGGUUUAAUUCUAUUGAUCCUGGUUGUGUGCGUACUCCCCAGGAUAUGAUUUAUUACUUCUCUGCUAAAUAUUCCCCGCUCAUAAGAAACAAGGUGCUUUGAGGGAAAUAUAUAAUUUUGUGCAAAUUGAAGAAGAGAGUCUCCCACAAGCUUGGGGGAGGCUUCUCCAAUUACUUAAUGCUUUGCCUGAUCAUCCUCUCAAGAAAAAUGAAAUACUUGAUAUCUUUUAUAAUGGACUAACCGAUGCUUCCAAGAGACCACCUGGAUAGUUGUGCUGGUUGUGUUUUCAGGGAAAGAACUGUUGAUCAAGCUGAAAUUCUAUUGAAUAAUAUGUUGGCCAAUGAAAAUAAUUGGACAUUUCCUGAACCAACUCCUAAGCCAACUCCGAAGAAAAGGGGUAUUCUAUUUCUCAGUCCUGAAGAUAUGCAAGAGGCAAAGAAAUCUAUGAAAGAAAAAGGUAUAAAGCUGAAGAUGUUAAGAAUUUACCUCCUGUUGAAGAAAUACAUGGUCUUAAUUUACCGCCUGUUGAAAAAAUACGUGGUUUUAAUCCAUCACCUAUUGAAGAAAUACAUGGUCUUGAUAAACCGACACAGGUAGUAAAGGUAAAUUCUCUCUAUAGAUAUGAUAAAGCUGAAAUCCCUCCUGCUAAGUUUGCUAGCCAAUGCUUAGAUGAGUUUGAUAAUUUUAUUGUCAAACAAGAAAACUUCAAUGCUUAUGUUGGUAGAGAAUUAAAACGCAAUGCUUAUAUGAUUGAACACUUGGGCGAUUAUAUGUCUAGAGUUGAAGGUGAACUUAAACUCAGUAGUAAACAUGCUUCUAUGGUUACCACUCAAGUAGAACAAGUACUUAAAGCUCAGAAUGAUUUGCUCAAUGAAUUAAAUAAUAAGAAGAAUGAUAAUGCUGUUAGAGUUAUGACUAGAGGGGGUAAAGUGACUCAGGAACCUUUGUAUCCUGAAGGUCGACCUAAGAGAAUUGAGCAGGAUUCUCAGAGAACUAAUGUAGAUGCACCUAGUCCUUCUAAAACAAAGAAAAAGAAAAAUGAUAGGACUUUGCAUGCUUCUAGUGAACCUGUUGUAGACACACCUGAGAAUCCCAAUGAUAUUUCUAUAUCAGAUGCUGAAACACAAUCUGGUAAUGAACAUGAACCUAGUGAUAAUGUUAAUGAUGAUGUUCAUGUUGAUGCUCAACCUAGCAAUAAUGAUGAAGUAGAGAUUGAACCUGUUGUUGAUCUUGAUAACCCACAAUCAAAGAAUCAACGUUAUGAUAAGAGAGACUUUGUUGCUAGGAAGCACGGUAAAGAAAGAGAACCAUGGGUUCAGAAACCCAUGCCUUUUCCUCCCAAACCAUCCAAGAAAAAGGAUGAUGAGGAUUUUGAGCGCUUUGCUGAAAUGAUUAGACCUAUCUUCUUGUGUAUGCGUUUGACUGAUAUGCUUAAAAUGAAUCCUUAUGCUAAGUAUAUGAAGGAUAUUGUUACAAAUAAAAGAAAGAUACCGGAAGCUGAAAUUUCCACCAUGCUUGCUAAUUAUACUUUUAAGGCUGGAAUACCUAAGAAACUAGGAGAUCCAGGAGUACCAACUAUACCAUGCUCCAUUAAAAGAAACUAUGUUAGAACUGAUUUAUGUGAUCUUGGAGCCAAUGUUAGUGUUAUGCCCCUCUCUUUAUAUCGUAGACUUGAUUUGAAAAAGUUGACACCUACUGAAAUAUCUUUGCAAAUGGCUGAUAAAUCAACUGCUAUACCUGUCGGCAUUUGUGAGGAUGUGCCUGUUGUAGUUGCAAAUGUUACUAUUCUAACGGACUUUGUUAUUCUUGAUAUUCCCGAGGACGAUAGUAUGUCUAUUAUUCUGGGAAGACCCUUGUUGAAUACUGCAGGGGCUGUUAUUGAUUGCAACAAAGGCAAUGCCACUUUUCAUGUUAAUGGUAAUGAGCAUACGGUACACUUUUCGAGGAAACAACCUCAAGUUCAUAGCAUCAAUUCUAUUGAAAAAUUCCAUCGAUUAUUUUUGGAGGUUUUGAAUUUCCUCUUCCUACUGUCAAGAAGAAAUAUGAUAUUCUUAUUAUUGGGGACGUGCAUAUCGCCGUUGAGGUAACAUAGUGUUAUUCGAAAUUUCUCUGGUUUCAUGUUAUUCGAAAUGAGUUUGUUAACAAGACCUGAUCAACCUUGUUAGUAGAUUCCUUUUGAUGAGCAUGAGAUGGAUGAAGUUAGAAGGCACAACCUUCUGUACCCCUCUUUUACUUUCUGUAAAUUAGAUUAAAUAAAGCAAAAAUAGUAUUUUCUGUCAGUUCUCUGAAUUAUCCGUGCAAUAAUAAAUACCCGAAAAUAAAAGUUCUCCAAAUGCCCCGAAAUUGAAAUAUGACUUUUUCUGGAAUAUUUGAGAAUAUCUUGCACUGAGAACACAGUAGGGGGAGCAAGGACCUGGCCACGAGGGUCCAGGGCGCGCCCACCCCCUGCCUCGUGGGCCCAUGGUGGCUCCCCUCCACUUAUUUCAGCAACCACACACUCUUUCUUCCUCCCAAAAAAAUCACCAACCAGCUCAAGCACGAGUUCUUGCUCAUUUUGCUGCCAUUUUCGAUCUCCUUGCUCAAAGCACCUCUCACAAAACUGCUUUGGGGGAUUCCUCCUUGGUAUGUGACUCCUCCAAUGGUCCAAUUAGUUUUUGUUCUAGUGCUUUAUUCAUUGCAAAUUUUUGCUGCCUAGGUGACCAUGUUCUUGAGCUUGCAUGUCAAAUUUAUAUGGUUCCAAGUAGUUGUAAUGCAUGAUAUAGUCUCUAGGCACUUGUGGGAGUAGUUGCUAUCAAUUUUGUUGAGUUUGGUUCACUUUUAUUUGAAGUUACUAAAAUUUUCACAAAAAAAUCAGAGGAAGAAUUAUGUUUAGGAAAAUGUACCAAGGUGGUCCUUCAAGGAAGCAAGGACCCAAGCUCGCAAUACGCGAUGCGGACGGUGAGCCACCAAGGGAAGCUCAAGUGCGGGCUUGUGAAUGGCCGUCAGAGGACUUUAUGGAUCGAGCAGGAAUUAAGGAAGAAUUUAACGCAUAUGUGCGUAACGCUGAUCUUGUGAGCUUCGAGGCAGAUAAGUGCCAUCAGUACCACUAUCUCACUGAUUCCUUUGUGAGAAGGUUUGAAUUUUCAUCAUCACGCAAUUCUCAAACUGUCCUGUUUGAUCUUUAUGAAAAUUCUUAUACUAUGGACUUAGAGGAUUUUAAUACUGCUUGCAAACUUCCACAAUGGGGUAGCACUAGUGAGCCUCGGAAAUCUGAGUUUAGAGAUUUUCUUGCUAGUAUAACUGUGGGGGAGUCUAGAGAUAUAACACAAGCUACCAUAGGGAGCAUUCAUUUUCCUGCUAUACAUUAUUUUGCUCUCUUCAUAGGUAGGUGCAUAAAUGGUAAGGAUGAAGCAGGUCACAUGUGUGUCCCUGACCUCAGUGUUCUUAGGAGUGCUGUAUUAGGAGAUAAGCAUUAUAAUUUGGUAGCCAUUGUUGCACGUAGGUUGCAUAAUAAUAGAAUUAAUGGAGAUUUAUUUGGUGGCAUCUAUGCAACCCGUUUAGCUAAUUUUCUUGAUAUACCCAUAUGUGAGUAUGAUGUUGAGUUGCCUCCUGUUUACUUAGAUUAUGAAGCUAUGGUUUGUCAUCAUUUUGUUGAGAGGAACGAUCCGUUCCUCCAGUACCGACUAAUCUUUGACAGACGACGCACCUAUCACGUCGCUCUCCCUGCUCCUACUUUCUUUGACUUUCAGGCAAAAGGAGACAUGUUAUAACCAGGGAGGAGGCAAACGAGUACGAGAGGAGGACUGAGACAGCUCACCUCCAAGCUGCAGCCCACGAUGCGAUAGCCGUUGCAUCUCAGUACGACCCCAACUACAACUUUGGAUAUCCGCCAGCCUAGCCAUGGCAAUAGACCAACUUAGGCCAAAAGCCUAAGAUUGGGGGAGCACGUAUCUCUCACCGACAUUACAUUCAUGUUCACACACUCAUUGCCAGUUGUCGGUGCUAAUACUUUUUCACUAUAUUAUCCAUGCUAGUUUAUUUUCUUGUUUUCUUCUUGUGUGUUUGAAAAACCUUAAGAAAAACCAAAAAAAA